rnacentral:lncRNA from 1 species
UUGAUGAAAGGUAAGUAAAAACGACUCUACUAUCCUUUCUAUGCGUACUAAGUGGAUACAAGUUAUUUAAAAUCCAGAGUAAACAAAAAAUCGAUUGUGUGUAUCUGCCCUAAGCACACAACCAAACAAGGAAUAGGAAAUGAGGCGAAUGGCACACAUCCCAUUGGUUGUUAUAUCCUUGUUGUAUAUAACCCUUGUGUAUUCACUUAGUACUCACGAAGUUAACUGUAAUAGUUCCUUUAUAUUUGAUGAAAAAAUUCUUUAAGAAACCCCUUAUUUCUUAUUAUAAAAUAGUAACCACAGUGGUUCCUUCUAUAAUCACUUAGUUUAUACUAGCUAUAUAUACUCUAAUAUCGAAUAGAUAGUUAAUUGUGUGAAUCUACCCUAAGCCCACAACCAAACAAGGAACACGAAAUGAGGUGGAAGACACACAUCUAACUAUCUAUCUGGUAUUAAUUAUAUAUAACCCUAAUGUGUAAACUAAGGUGUUAUAUAAUUAAUCACCUAAGGUCCUUUAGAUUUUACUGCUUUAAUAAAAUGGAUUAAACCCUUUACUGGUAAGUUUCUAGUUUUGUAUACCAAAAGUUUUGAUUUCAAAAGUAUGUUUUGUACUUGAAAAUUGUGCAUUGAAUUAGUGUUCUAUGACCUAACACAUACCUGGUACCCCUUAUGAUGACUUAAUGUAUACGGAACAUAUAUAUAACUAAGAUCGAAUGGAUAAUAGGUUGUGUGAAUCUGCUCUAAGCCCAUAAACAAACAAAGAACAAGAAAUGAAGCGGAAAGCACACAUCCUAUUACCUGUUGGAUCCUAUUAAUAUAUAUCCCUUGAUGAAUACAUUAAGGAAUCAUAAGGUUAGCAUUAUGGUACCUUUCUACUGGAUGUACUAGACUCGACUGUUCUGAUUAUCGUUUGUAAAAUGUAAGUUUUCCCUAGUUUAUAAUUAUAUUGACUCGAAAAUAGUUUGCAUUAACUUUCAAGUGGAACUGUCACUUUAUGAAAGUAAUGGGAAAGUGAAAGUACUCGGUUGUCUUUUAAAUUGAUAUCCUGGCGUACUAAUUUCCUUUAAAACAUGUUUGUUUUUAUUAAGGUCAUAAUGUGAAGGCUAGAACCCAAACGCGACUCCCGCAAACCAGUUGCUAGGCCGUGUAAUCCACAUUAAAGUUUUGUGAUCAUGUAUACCCAAUUUAACUAUCACCAUUUGUUUAUAACAAUGAGUUAGUGAUUCAUUGGUAUAAUUAGAUCUUGUAAUGGUUCCGUGCUAUAGCAACUUACUAUGUUCGUUCUGUUAUAGUAUCUUAGUAUGUUCUUCCUGUUAUCGUGUAUUGUAUCUAGUAUGAACUGAACCUCUAAACUAUACCCCUUAUAGUUUACUAAUGUUUUUACUUGAACUUUUAUUGAAAAGACUCAUUUUAAUACUAAGUUAUGCUUGUACUUUAAAAAUGGAGUUUUGUUAAACUAAAAGUAACAUAAAUUUAAAUCAGUUUUUGAAAUGUUUUGAUCACUUAUAAAAGACAUAAGCGACAUUUUGAAAGAUGUUUAUAACAAACAUUUACACAAUUAUCAUUGUGUUCAACUUGUAUCCCCCCCCCCCCCCUAAAAGCAUUUAAAACAGUUAGAAGAUUCAUUACGGGGUAUGAACUCAGCUGAUGUGGGUGAUUCAAACGAAUAUUCCUGUAAGGAUGAGAAGCUCUACGAAUGAACUUCCGAGACACAAAUGGGUCCUAAACGACAUAUAUGACAAGUAUUUGCAUGAAUAUUGUGUUUAUAAGCAACUAAUAUGCUAAGAAAAACCCUUAUGGACUUGGACUAGGUGCUAGAAUCACAUGUGAUUCAUCAAAGGGUUGAUUAAGGACAUCAUUUGGUGUUUACGACCAUGCGUUUACGGCCAUGGAGUUUAUGGCUGUAAACUCAUGGUAAAAGGUACAUAAAAGGGUGUUUGAAGGCUAGGGAAACUUGUGGGACCAUUGCUCUACACAAGGAUGAGAAACACCAACUUAAUGGAAGGCUUUUGAUGAGUUUACGGCCAAGCAAGGAGUUUAUGGUCGUAAACUCAUGGAAAUUAUGCAAAUGAGAGUGGUUUAAGGUCAUAUUUUCAUCAAGUAAGGGUUCUAGGUCACACGCUUAGCUUCAGGAAGAGUUUAUGGCCAAAAUGGCACCUUUAUAGGGGUUUACGGCCAAGGGAGAUGCUCUUGGCCGUAAACUCCUUUUGUUCUUGAGGAAUGGAUGAUUUCAAAGUGUAGAUCAAGUUUUUCAAUCAUACAACAAGUUAAGGAAGGAUUACUCACAAUAUUGAAGCCUGAAAGGGUUGAUUUUGCACCAAAACACUAGUGUGUUCUUGGAGUUCUUGGUGGAAGUUGGAGAUCUAACCAAAAGAUGUUGUUAAUGGAUGGAAUCAAAGGGUGAUUCAUGAGUAAGAAGGGAAAUCAACAACUAGAGGGAAGAUUCAGUUACAUUUUUGGAGGAUUUAGAUGAAGAACUUGAUGAUUCUUGAGAGAGUUUGAAGAGAUUUUGGCCAAGGAAGGAAAAAGUGAAGAAAAUGGCCCAAGCUUCAUACCUAUAGGCUAGAGUUUUCAUCCCUGGUUGAUUUUACAGCCGUAAACUCCAUGUUUACGGCCAUAAACUCCACAUGAUUGAGUUUAGGGCUUUAAUGUUGUACAAUCAAUCUAUCAGGUACUUCCUAACACUCAUUCCUUGAAUAUAUAAGGCUAGAACACUCGGACAGUCCCUUAUCAAGGCUAAAAGGUAGUAGAUACGAGUCUGACUCUCAUUUGACUGUACUUAUAAAGCAAAAAAAUUUCGGGUUGUCACAUCUACAUACAUAUACAUAAUACUACCUUCGUCCCAAAUUGAUAGUCCGCUUUUGAAUUUUGAAGUCUUUUCACAUCAACUUUGACCUUAAAUACUUUUGUUUUUCAUAGAUAAUACUUUAUGCAAAAUAUAUUAAUGGAUUGUAUUUUAAAUGUUUUUUCAUUGUUAUAAGUUUUAUCAAGUAAUAUAUAACUCAAAUAAAAAUAUUUAAGGUCAAAGUUCAAGAAAAAAGACUUAAAAAGUCAAAAGUGGACUAUCAAUUUGGGACGGAGGGAGUAUAUAACUAGGAUUUAAAUGACUUUCUGACAAACAACCGAUACUCUAAGUCCACAUCCAAACAAGGAAAAGGAAGUAAAGCGACUUGUUAGUCCUAAGCCCUUUAAACAUUAUUUAUAUAACUAUAUCUACAUAGACAUGCUCUUGAUAAUAUUUAUAAUUUUAGAAAAGGAGUUUUGUGAAAUACAAAAAGAUUUUAACAUUUGGAAAGUAUUAAUGACUUGGUGUCAGCUUAUAAAAUGAUUUGAAGCUGUUUGUUUGAUAAUACAUUUGAAAUAUAAUAAAUUCUUUACUUUGUAGUUAUAAACCACUUGUGAUUGAUUAUAUAACUAACAUGUUUUCUACUUGUAUCCCCCUCCCCAUAAAAGCAUUUUAAAAUCAUUUAAAAGGUAAGUUAAGGGGAAUGAACGCACCUGCAUUGAGUGAUUUGGAUGAAAGACUGAUAUAGAAUGCUAAGUGUGCCAAGUGAUAUCUCGAGCACAAACAGAGCCUAUUAAGCAUAUAAUAACACAUAUAUGUAUGUAAUUAAUGUAUGUAACACCUAAUCAUGUAAUGAAACAACCUCAGGGACUAGGAAACACUUGUCAUGAAGUGUUACAAUCACAUAUAAUUGUAUAAAGGUAGGUUACGGCGACUCCUUAGUAGUUUAUGGCCAUAGGGUGGGUUUAUGGCCAGAAGUACUUGAGUUUAAGGGGUAUUUAUGGCCAUAACUAGCAUCUAUUAUGGGUUCAAGGUCCUAAGCUUGGUAUUAAGGAGUGUUCAUGGCCAAAACAUGCCCAAAACAAGGGUUUAUGGCCAUAACAAAGAGUUGACAGCCGUAAACUCUUGGAGUUAUGUGGUUAGAUGACGUUUAUAGGUCUUGAAUCAGGUGCUUAUUAUGUGUAAGUAUAUGAUAGAGGGAAAAGUCACACUUUGUAUGAGUUUAUGGAGUUUACGACCACCAAGAAUAAGGAGAUGUUCUUGGUGUUCUCGGAGAUCUAACUCAAAAAGAGAUGAUUCAAUGAAUGAAACCAUAGAGUUUCACUAGGUCAAGAAGGCUAUUAUGAAAGAAAUGGAAGAAUCAAUUACAUUUUGGAUGAACAAGGGGAUUGUAGGCUCUUCUUCUGGUUCAGUGUCGAGCCAAUCAACAUUUCCUUGAUUCAGGAAGUACGGACCUCCAGGGAGGUUGAAUCCAGCCAUUCAUCUAGACAAGAAAUAAGGGUAAGGAGUUUAUUUAUUAAUUUUAGAAUAAAGCGAUAAACAAAUAAAAGUUUCUAUAAGAGAAACUUAUAGAUUACGUACUAAAGUAAUUCUAAUUAAUUAUGACUUUUACUGGUUCCUUCUAUGAGGAUAGUACAUACGAGUUAAGUACUACUUGGUUCGAACAGACCUUCGAAUACAUGAUCCUACUCUAAGUCUACAUCCAAACAAGAAAAAGGAAUUAAAGCUUAGACCAUACAUUCUCAGUCUAUGAAACCUAAGUAUUUUUAACUGUGAUGCAUGCACUUAGUACUCAUAGUGCUAUCAGCAAAAGCCUUAUGUUCUUAUGUAGUUUGUUCUUUGAAUGAAUAGUGCCUAAAAUACUCCUAUAGUAUUUUAAUUUAUGUUCUGUUCUAACAUUCUCCUAUAUGUAGUAUAUUUAUAGUUUGGUAAGUUUUAGACCUGUCGCAACACCACUAUCACUCCCAAACACAUGUUCUUCGUAUCUCAAGUAAAUAUAGUUGAUCAGGCUAUAUUGAUUCCAGAUACGAUUACAUAAUUGCUCAGGUUUGAUUAUAGUAUCCAACAUCUAAAUUACUUUUUUUCUGUUCUAGUAUGACAUUGUUCUGUAGUAAGUAUGUAGGUAUGUAUACUUAGUUAAAUAUGUUGUUAUUUAAAAGUAUAAAUUCUUGGUCAAAGUACUUUAAUCCAGUUGUGUUUAUAGUUUGCAUAUCUUUUAUGGGUUGAUAUACUCAAUUCACUAUAAACAAUGCUCAGAUACCAAUCUGUCACACCCACAAACCGAAUUAGCGGAAACAUUCGGGGGCAGAGGACGCCAUGUAAAGUAUCAUAACAAUCCAUAAUAGUAAAGAAGCAACAACAUCAUCCAUUUUAUUAAUAAUAUAUUUUCAUACAGGUGUGUUAUGUGCAAAGCUAGUAAUAAGACACCAAAAAGUUAAAAUCAAAAUAAAGACGAGUCUGGAAGUGCUCCGUCUUCUCAAAACAUGUCAUCCGUACCUGUCUACAGUGACCUGAGAAUAUAAAUUAUUUUGAAAGAGAGGAUCAGCAUUUAAGUUGGUGAGUUCAUAAGUAUUUUGGUGAUAAUUGUUUGUAAUUGUUUAAUGUAAAGUAUAUGUAAAUGUUCUAAUGUAUAAGUUGGUGAAAAUGUUGGUAUGCGUUCGAAAUCUCCUAGAAAAUCCUAUAUUUUCUACUAAUAUGGAAAGCAGUCUUCUACCAAGACCUAACUUUUUUGUAUGUUUGUUUCUCGCAAAAUGGGGUAAUGUAGUCUUCUACCAAGACCCGACCGUUUUGUAUGUUUGUACUUGAAAUAGUAUGCAAUGUGUGUUUUCCCAAUGUUUAAGACUAUCUUGUAAGAAUUACCUACUGAAACACUAAUUACCUUAAAACCAGUUUGUUAAUUAAGGUUUAGAUGUGAUGUGGUUAUAACCAUGUUAAAUCGACAAGUAGAUAAACACGACGACCCUAUGGCGCCGAAAGUAAAUGUGACAUUUAUCACCCCUGACCUUUCGGCUGAUUGUAGCGAACAGUCAGGAUGCAGGCUUAUCAGCCCCGUAUAGAUCUAUACACAAAAUUUCUGCUCUCCCUCCAGGAGACUCUGGUUUCAAAACGUGACACAAAAAAUUUGUUGUUGUGCCAUGAAGUAGACUCACAUUUAAGUUAUCUUGUUCUUUGAAAAGUAUGAAUGUCCUUUCUGUACUUGUUAUUGUUUGUCUGAACUGACUCACGUAUGAUCUGACUUCUGUAAGGACUGAUUUAUGUAAGUUUCAAUGUUCUAGCAAUAGCAAGUAGUAGUUUUCUAAGCUAUACCUAUUAUAGUUUACUAGUAAUUUCUGUAGUUUGAAUGAAUGGUCAUGAAUGUAUACCUUUGCUACCCAAAGGCAUCAAACUGAUCGGUUGUACUUUUAUAUCUACAUACGUAUACAUAAUAUACAACUAAGAUUUAAACAACUUUCAGAUAGACAACCGAUACUCUAAGUCCACUUCCAAACAAGGAAAAGGAAGUAAAGCGACUUGUUAGUCCUAAGCGCUUUAAACAUUAUUUAUAUAACUAUAUCUACAUAGAUAUGCUCUUGAUAAUAUUUAUAAGUUUAGAGAAGGAGUUUUGUGAAAUACGGAAAGAGUUUAACAUUUGGAAAGUAUUAAUGACUUGGUGUUAGUUUAUAAAGUGAUUUGAAGUAGUUUGUUUAAUAAUACAUUUGAAAUAUAAGAAAUUCUUUACUUAAUAGUUAUAAAUCACUUGUAAUUGAUUAUAUAACUAACAUGUUUUCUACUUGUAUCCCCCCCCCCCAUAAAAGAAUUUUAAAAUCAUUUAAAAGGUAAGUUAAGGGGUAUGAACUCACCUGCAGUGAGUGAUUCAGAUUAAAGACUGAUAUAGAAUGCUAAGUGUGCCAAGUGAUAUCACGGGCACAAACAGAGCCUAUUAAGCCUAUAAUAAAGCAUAUAUGUGUAUAAUUAGUGUAUGUAACACCUAAUCAUGUAAUGGAACAACCUCGGGGACUAGGAAACACUUGUCAUGAAGUGUUACAAUCACAUAUGAUUGUAUAAAGGUAGGUUACGGCCGCUCCUUAGGAGUUUACGGCCAUAGGGUGGGUUUACGGCCAGAAGUACAUGAGUUUGAGGGGUAUUUAUUCCCACGACUAGCAUCUAUUAAGGGUUCAAGGUCCUAAGCUUGGUCUUAAGGAGUGUUCAUGGCCAAAACAUGCCCAAAACAAGGGUUUACGGCCAUAACAAAGAGUUUACGGUCGUAAACUCUUGGAGUUAUGUGGUUAGAUGAUGUUUAGAGGUCUUGAAUCAAGUGAUUCUUAUGUGUAACUAGAUGAUAGAGAAAAAAAUCACACUUUGGAUGGCUUUAUGCAGUUUACGGCUACAAAGAAUAAGUAGAUGUUCUUGGUGUUCUGGGUUGUAACGCCCAUAGAUCCGGGCUAGUGAAUUUAGAGAUAAUAAGGGUCGAAAACGACUUUUUGACAAAAUAUUAUUUAUAAUAAAUAAUCUUAACCAAUUUGUAUAAUAUGUCUCAAGGGUUCCGUACAUAUAAAGAACGCCGAAAUCCGAAUUAUGGUAUCUCGUCAUGGUAUCUCGUCUUCCUCAUCUCCUCAUCCAUAGUGUACUGCGGGACCAAUAAAUCCCUCUCUCUGAAUUUUGCGGUAAUCUCUGCUACAGUCUCAGUAGUCUGGAGUAGGUCUUGGAGCUCCCUCAUCAGCUAUUGAACCUCAAUUUCUGGUGCAAAAUCCCUCAAGAACCUUUCGACAAAAUCUCCCAAGGUCAUGACUUCCAGUGUCGUUGACCCUACUGCUUGGCUAACCUCCUCCCACCCGUCUCGUGCUCGGUCCCUCAGCAGACAAGUUGCAAAUCCCACCUUUGCCCCUUCAAGGAAAAAACUUGUUUGUUGAUCAUUCACCAUGUCAGCGAUCCAGCAUCAGUUAGCGAUGAGGUCCUUAGCCCCAUAGAACCCAAGAGUUCCACAGGCCUUGAACUCCAUGAAUGAGGGAGGUCGAGCUCCUAUAUGACCUGAAGCAAUCUCAACUCAAAAGGUCAUGAGCUUCUCAUCCAUCUGCUCCAUAAUCCCCUCCUUGAUGGUACCAAACAACACAGGGGUAGCAUCCAAGAUACCAGGAGUAACAUCAGCUUAAAUGAACCCGCACAAACGCUCAUCAAUUGGUUCUGUGUUGGAGCUAGAUCCUGAACCAGAACCUCCUUGAGUAAUCAUCACAAUCAUCCAAACUAAAACGCAACAUAUAAACAAUCAACAAAAGGACUUGUGAGGAUUCCUCUACAAAUGACUCCUUAGAGUUUCCAGGUCUACUCUUGUCUCGGGUAUAGGUCAUGUACUUCUAGUAGUACGGGCCGAAUACUACCUUUCACACCUACCUGUACCUGCAUAAAGGUCAGUUCUGAUUCCUCUAGGUCACUACACUAAAACCAUAUACAAAUCCUAUGCUAUAUAACAUACUUAUCCUCGACUCUCCUAGGAAUUAACAACUCCUACCACUCGUAGUACCAAGAAUCUCAAUCAACACUGUUGGUUGCCUUAUGCAUGCAAGUUAUACCAAAAAUAGGAUCACACAGACUAUCAAAUGAUGAUUCUACCCUAAGUCCACAACUAAACAAGGAACAGGAAAUAAGGCCAAAUCGAUCAUUCUAAGGCUAUACAAUCCUAAUCAUAUACAACUUUGAAAGCUUAGACUUAUCAAUUAACUGAGUCGAUAUCGAUUCCAUGUAAAACAUAGCAUCAAGCUCCAUUUGGCUAUAUGGCAUCACGCAAAUCAGGAAAUUCUAUCAUGUGAUCCCUGAAGGUAUCCUUAAUCCUAAUCAAGCAUGCAAUUCUCAUAUCCAGCAUACUACUCAUAAUACAUUGGUAUGGGUAGUUUGGGAACCACUUACUUCAGCUUGACUGAUUGCACGUAUCACACCCCUUCUUCUUAACAAAAAUCUUUUUAAAAUUUUAAUUUCAUUUUUCUUAAGAAAAUUAUUAUUUCUUUUGUUUAUGUUCUAACACACCCCAAAGUGUGCCAAAAUCCCUUAAACCAAGGCUCUUAUACCAACUUGUAAAAGCCCAAAAUAUUGGUGAAAAUUUUCAUUUAAAAAUCUAUAAAAUCAUUCAUUGAUUUUUCAAAACCAACAUCAAUUCAUAAUAUUCAAAACAUCUAAGUAUAAUUAUUUCAAAUGUGCAAAUUAUGAGGGGAAGAUGUUUUGCCAUCAUGUCGGCCCCUUCCCUUUUCGAAUCUAAAAUACCAGAAACCAUGAACAUAAAUUUUAAGCACAAAGCUUAGUAAAUUCCACAAAAUACCGCAUACAAAGAAUAUAAAAGUGCCAUGGGCUACCCCUAAGGUCUUUCCUUGCAAUGUCGAGUGCCAAAUCUCAGUCUUAUAUACAAGUGCCAUGGGCUACCCCCAUAGUCUUUUCAUGCAAUGUCGAGGGCCAAAUCCCAAUCUUACAUACAAGUGCCAGGGGCCAGAUCCUGGUCUUUCAUAUAAUUUCUAGGGCCCAAAUCUUGGUAUAUCAUGAAAGCAUCAAAAAGACAACUAGCAUUCCACAUAACAAGUAAUGGGUCGGCAUUGGUGCCGUCGACCCAUGGAUAUAUUGAGAAAACUCACCUCACAGACAAAUAAGCAAUCUGAAUAGUAUUCUGCUCCAAGAUCAAUUCUACCAACCACCUUAAUAAGUUCACGACACAAUCUCAGCAUAUAAGUCAAAAUACCUAAAAUACCCUAUGUCAAACCCUAGUAAAAUCCAGGUCAAAGUCAACUGAGUUAAUGGUGAGUACGUAGGGCGUACUCCUUACUUAUAUGGGGCGUACUAUGCGGUUGACCGAGGAUCAAGGAGCUGACCACGUAUGCACAACGUACCCCUUGGUACGCUCAGCGUACGCAACUUCUCUCCACUUAAGCCAUUAAGUGCUUAUUCCAGAAGCAUUUACGUCCAAAAUUAAAAUCUAAGCUCAAAAGGAUGUCCUUAACCAUAAACUUUGCAACUUUAUGGUUUAGCAUGGCUAUUAAGUCCUUAAACCCUAACUUCUUUACCUAUUAAGACACUCUAGCUCAUGCAUAGAGAGAAACUAGUGACCAAAAACAUUUUUUUAUGACUUAGCACACCCUACAACCUCUGAAAGGAUAACUCAAACGUCUUCGAGUACGUCCUACUCACAAGGAUCAAGUUUGGGAUAAAAAGGUGACAACUUUGAUCUAAAACUAGAUACAUAAGAAACAUACACCAAGAUUGAAGCUUUUUACCUCCACAAGAUACACAAUGAAGACAAAAUGUUGGAUCCAAAGUCUUGGGUGAAACACCACAACCUUAGGGUUCUUCAUUCUACACCAAAGGCUCCAAAAUGACACCAAAAAGGGCUCUUCAAGCUUCACAAAGCACUCAUACACUUUAGAGUGUUAAAAUUAGGAGGGGAUGAAGGUAUAAGGGUGUAUGAGUCUAUAAAGGUGCUUAAAUAGGGUCCAAACCCUAAAACUAUGUAUGCCCUGCGUCUAGCAUAUACUUAGCAUACUAGCACGAAACCUAUACGCCCAGCGUACUAAGUUGCAUCCGGAAAUAACAAAAAUGCCAUUGGGGAGUAUUCUUGCAGAAAAAACACAACCCAAGGGUCAAAAGCAAGUACUUGAAAAUUGUAGAUGUUAUAACUUGUUAUAUCUUCAACAUGAAAUACAUUCGUUAGUAAUAAGUUGAUUAUUUAUCUUCCAAUCAUCAGCAGUUAAUAUGAUUUAUAAGUGUCACAUGCAGUAUACAAUACUUAAGUGGAUGAUGGAAAAAAUAAAAAGCUCUAUCAUAUAGAUAUUUAAAGUCUUUUCCAAGUCAGACUUUCUUAGCUCGACGAGAUAAGAAGAGUAGUUGCUCUUUUAAUGUCCAAUUUCUUCCAAAAUACAAACAAUAUUAAUCAUUUAGAUCCUUUCUUGAGUUAUGGAUUUAUUUGGUUUUCCCAUAACUGAACUAUAAGUCUAUUUGAGUAAACAAUCUCUUAGACUUCCUAUAUUCAAUGCUUGAACAGUCUUGAAACAUUUCUACUGUUAUGAUAGAAUAUGUGUUUUACUUGAUGAGACAUCCAACAUGUUUCAUAAUUAUCCAAGACUUUCUACAAGUCAGGGAUAAUUAUUCCAGUAUGAUGUGGGACACAUCAAUAUCAUCACAAUAAUACUUAUGCAAAAGUAUCAUGAGCAGACUGACUGGUUUGUAGUGGUUGUUAAGGUAGGUGAUCUUUUAGUAUAUAUAAUUUCUAUUUAUCCUUAAUUAAGAACCUUAAGGUAUUAUACCAUUUAUAGAAAUUAUAACAAUCAAAUUUUACACUCUUGAAACUCAACAAGAGAGAGAUUUUGUAAGGCGUAAAAGUGUUAAAAGUUAUUAAAAAAAAUUAACAAAGUUUCAUUUAAUGUUUUCAAUAUUAAGUCUUUAAAAAUUAAUACCUUUUAUUGUUUCUUAAAACAUAAAUUUACUAAAGUCUAGGAUCCAAGUAAUGAAACAAGUAAAUGGUUAGGUAACCUUUAUCCCAUAACUGAAUCAAACUCAUUAGGUAGCAACUACUAAUUUCAUAAGAUAUGUAAAUCAUAGAUAAUGGGAUCCCAAACAAAUAUUGCUUAUAUUGGCACGUUUAUCCUAUCACUGCCUCUGACCUCUUAUGCUUAGAUGGCAUUUAUCACAUAAGAUUUUGAUCAAGCCAUCCUACUUGAAACAACUUGUAGUAUUGUAACUAACUACUGACAAGGUGAUCCUUUAGUCAUCAAAAACUACAAACCUACCCCAAACAUCAUAAGACGAUCCUAAUAACCAGGUGACCAUGUGUCACCAAGACCAUACAAAUGAUACCCAAUAUUCUUCAAAACGACAGCAACGACUUGCAUUCUUAAUAAAAGGUUUUAUAUAUGUUUUACAAUUAUAGUUUAACAAAAUGGUCUCAUGAAUAUUACAUGAAUCAAAUAAUUCAUAUACCCAUUCGUAAAAAUCAUAUCACUUGUUAUACGAUUAUUUAGGUACCAAAUAAAAGCUCAUUUUAUUUACCAUUAGUUGCGAUCAAUUACAAACCUAAAUAUGAUAUUUUAAAGUUCAGUUGUAGAGCAGUUUUAAGAGUCGAUUAUAGUCUUAAUAAAAUUUCAUUUUAUACUUAAGACUUUAAGUUUUGGAUGAGUUCUAAAAUCACAAUUUUAAAUCUCCUUUUAACAAUAAAAAACUUAUGACUACAUGAAUUUGUAGAACAAACUCAUUUUAUUUUAUAAACACAAUUUUAUGCAUCUUAUGAUAAAUGUCAUAUUUUGAUAAACCAAAACUUGGGUGACGAUACUUACAUUUAAAUCUCAUUUUACAUUCAUAUAACAUAAUACCAACAUGUUGCGUUAUGUUUAAAAAAACUAAUCAUACAUACUUAUAAAGCUAACAUUUUUUCUUGAAUUUCAUUCAUUUGAAACCCCCUUUUUUAACUUCCUCAAACCACAUUCAUUUGAAACUCCCAUGGCUUUUCAAUUUCUUUCUAAUAAUGAUUAUAAUUUUGUUAAUAAGAUUAAAUAAAUAUUAAACCUAAAUUAUAAUCAUAUAUAAACUAAAUUUUAAUAUUAAAAGAAUAUAUUUACUUCUACUUAUAAAGUUAUUUGUUUUGAACUUUUAACAUAUUAUACUUAAUUUAUUAGUUUUAAUAUAUUGUUGGAUAUAAGUCGUUAUCAUUUUAAAGCUCCAAUUUUUGAACAAUUUGUAUAAAAUACUUAAAUUACAAAUUUAAAUAUAAAAUUACAGGAUUAACUUAAAUAUAAAUUUUAGUUUAACUUAAACAACCCAAAGAAUAUUUUGUAAAUAGAUAAAAGUGAUAAAUUGUAGUAUCUUUCUAAUAAUAAUUAUACGUUGGUUAAUAAGGCUAAAUAAAUAUUAAACCUAAAGUACAAUCAUAAAUAAACUAAAUCUCAAUAUUAAAAUAAUAUUUUUACUUCUACUUAUAAAGUAAUGUCUUUUAACUUUUAAAAUAUUAUACUUAAUUUAUUAGAUUUAAUAUGUUGUUGUAUAUAAACCAUUAACAAUUUAAAACUACAACUUUUGAACAGUUUAGACAAAAUAUUUAAAUUGUUAAAUUAAAUAUAACAUUAUCCUGUCAACUUAAAUAUAAAUUUCAGUUCCACUUAAAAAACUCAAUGAAUAUUUUGUGAAUAGUUUAAAGUGAUAAAUUGUAGUGCUAAAUGCAAAACUAAAUUACAAUAUAAAUUUAACUAAGAUGUUUUCUAAAGAUAUUUGUAUAAUCGUUAAAAGUUUUCAAAUAAGUAACUUAAAAUUACUUACAAUAACAAUAGUUAAAAAUAACUUUAUAUAAAUGAUUAUAUUGUUACCUUUAAAAUAAAAAAUCAAUGUUUGAUGUUUUAAAUAAUUAUAAUGAUAGAAAUUAAAACGUUAACCAAAUAAAUUUUAAAAAAAUAAUUAACAAAAACAACAACUAUAAAUAAUAUUAAACCAUAAAUUAUAUUUAAUUUUAUUCAUGAGUAACUCGCGGGUAGAAAUCAUUGAAACGGUUGAGAUUAUGCAAUUAUAAUAGAUGUAUAUAUUAUCAUAUAAUUCAAAAUAAUCAAUAUAUUAUAUCAAUUUAGUAUAUGAAUUAUUAUAUCAAAUUUAACAACAAUGUUAUUGUUAUAUUUUAAAAAAACAUAUAUUUGUAUAGAUUUCAACUAUAUAGUUGUUUCUGCGCAACGCGCGGACAUUCGUCUAGUAUCAUAUAUUAAGUUACGACGUAAAAAUAAUCACUAGUUUUAUUAUUUUUCGUUAUAAUGCUAUAAACCGAUUUUAGUCUUUUCAAUAAAAACUCCUUAUUUAUUAUAAAAUCAUAGAGUUUAUAUAAUGUUUAAAAAUCUUUUAAACCAUUUUAAAUAUUCUAAAGUUGGUUAUUUAAUUAAAAGUUUCACAAUAAAACUAUUUUUAACAAAAAAUAAUUGAGUUUUAGUGGAUAACCGUAAAAACGUUUUUAUAAACAUCUUCUGUUACCUUUAAAGUAUUUUUUUACUCAAGCUCCAAAUGAUAUUAUUUUCUGAUAAAAUUUUAUUUAGCUUAUAAAAACCAUUUUCAUAGAUCAAACGUAACAUAAAAUAAUAUAAAAUAAACAUCACAUGCAUGCAUUAUAAUAUGUAUAAACCAAGCAAAGUCUAGUAAUAAGUUAUGUGAGCCAUUACAAGAAUUAUUAAGUCUUUGCUAAGGACUUAAGGGACACUUUAAAACGUCUUCAAGCUCCCACUUGCCAAGUCAACUAUUGCAUGCAAAAGAACUUCAAGUUUUCAUGUUGUGCAGGUUUGAACACUUAAACCAUUAAGACAAUAAUUAAGCCCAAAACCAAAAGUCGAAGCUCAUUGUUGGGAUUAUAGUAUCAAGUGGUGAACUCAACUUCAAUAAGGUCAUAUCUUCAUCUUGUUACAUUUAAAAAUAAAUACAACUAGUCCAACUAAUUUAUUACAACAACUCAACAAAUAAAACAAUAUAUACAUAUUUAUCUAUUAUAUCAUAUGAAUAAAUAAAUAUCAACCAAACACAAUUCAAAGGACCAAAUGGCUUGCUUAAAAAUGGCAUAUCAAAUAUUAUGAAAAACGACUCUUUGUUUUUUAUAAGGUAACUUUUAUACAACCAAAAUGCAUAAAAAGUUAUUAUGUAUAUAAAAACAAACAACUUUAAACAAGAACUUGCUAAAGAAGACAAAUAUGAAUAUUUCUUAACAAAAAGAAAUGCAUGCUUGUUUUCCAAAAACCAAUGAUUAUCAAACUUAAAAAAAAUCGUUCUAAGAUAUAAAAGAUGGCUCUGAUACCACUAAUGAGUUUUAAUACAAAAUAUAAGUGUAUUGUUAGGUCAUAAAUUGUGGUUUAUACUUUGAUUUUCAUAAGAUAUUAGAGUACUCAGUCUACAACCAAAAUCACCAUGUUUCGGUGUUGUUUGGACCAAAAUCACAUGUGAUUUUGGUUAGGCUUCAUAUUGUUUUGUUUGGGUUUUGGGCUUGUGCUUUGUUAUUAGGUCUAGGUAUAAAUAGUGUUAUUUUAACCUAGAUAGGGGUGAGAAGCCUCGCAUUUUUGGCCUGAAAAACAAUUUUUUGAUUUUGAAGCCUAAAGUUUUGACUUUCGACUUUAGACUAUCAAAUUUGACUUUUGACUUUCAAAUUUAACCUUUAACUUUCAAGUUUUCACAUUUGACAUUCAAGUUUGACUUAUUAAGUUUGAUUUUUCAAAUCAAAGGGCAUUUUGCUUGGUUUCACAAUUAGUUCUAUUUUUGGUAAAUUACUCUUUUUGGUGAAUAAUGUGUUCUUCAAUCACCAAGGUUAAUGAAACUCCCUGUUCUCAAGCCUGUACUGAUAUAAUUAAAUUUCUUCGUGAUCAGGUUGAUAUAUUACGUAGAGACAAUGAGGACCUUAAAUAUGAAGGCUAUACUCUUAGAAAGGCCCAAAAACGUUUAAAAGAAAAAUUAGAGGCCAAAAUCAAGGACUUUAGAAAAAUUCAAGAAGAAUAUAGUAAUAAAUGUGAAAAUUGUCAUUAUGCUCAAGUAAAAAUUGUCGAAUUAACUGUCGAACUUGAUGUAUUAAAAGCUAAAUAUAAAGAUGCUGAAUUUAACUUUAAUAAAUUUGACGUGUCAAGUGAGGUAGUUAUGUCCCUAAUAGAAAAACAGUUAAAAUUUAAAGAUCAAUAAUCAGAAUAAGGGUCUAGGGUAUCACAGUAUUCCACCUCUUUUCAAUGAUAACUAUACCCUACCCCUUAAAACCAAUGAGGUAGAGAUACUUGCUUAGUAUAGCCAAACCCCUGUACCAGCUUCAGUUAAGAUCCUAGUGCUUCCACUUCAUUUGUAGAUAAGAUCCUAGUGCAAGAUGAGCAUGAGCAGAACAAAAAAGAUUCUAGUUCUGUUGAUAAUGUUUCAAAAUAUUGAGAUGCUGAUACUCCCGCUGUGGAAAAGCCCAAGCCACAAAAGUCUAUUAAACAAUUUGUUAAAUGUUCUUGUGCGUGUGCUUGUGGAAGUCCCAUGAAAUAAAAUUCCAUUGGACAAGGACCAAGUUAAAAUCUUAUCUAUCACAUUGCCAGAAAUUGCCCACAUCAUUCGUAUGUUCCUUACUACAGAAAGGUUGGCAGAACACGCCAAGAGGGAUAUCUUCCAAAAGAAACCCUUCGAGGUCACAAUCGUGCAAUGGUGAUUGGAAUGCAAAAAAAGGCCAAGAAUCUAAAUCCCAAGGAUAGGAAGGGAAUGUAUGAUAAGAAGCCAACUUCAAGAGAUGGUUCUGUUAGAAAAAGAUCGGUUACGUCGAAGUCAUCUCGGCGGUCGGUUUCAAGUUCUAAAGCAAGUGCUUAGGCAUCUAUCUGAUCAAACAAGAAAUGGGUUAAAACCGACUAUAGAUGGGUACCAAAGGUUCAUACUCCCAAAUCACUUAAUGAUUCUAACAUUUCUUCAUCUUCUGUGUCUGAUAAACAGGAUAUGUCAUGGGAGAGAGUAUACGUUGGGUGGCUAUGGAGGAAUAUCAUCAGGCUUUUGUUUCUUAAUAGUGGUUGUUCCAAGCACAUGGUAGGGGACAUCUCUUAUCUGUAUGAAAUUCAGAACUUUACUUGAGAGUAUGUGUCCUUUGUGGGAAAGGAACAAAGAAAAGGAUCACAAAUGGGGAUCGUACUUAACGGCGUGUUGAAUUUUGAGUUUGUUAACUUCGUUCCAGAAUUGAAACAUAGCUAACGCUGAAUUUGUUGAUGCAUCUGCUUGCUGUUAUCAAGUUAUCAGAAUGCAACUUCAAUUGCUGAAUUACGGUUUGAGUUUUCUUCUCGAUACUUCUAAGUUUUUCUUAAAAUGAUUCGUUUUGAAGACAAAUUUUUAUUUUUGCGCAUUUAUUUUAUUUUCUUUCUUCGCCAUGCACAAGGGGGAGAAAUCAAAAUAGAAAAAAAUAUUUAACUAAUUAAUUAAGAUAAAAAAUACAAAAAUAUGUUUUCUUUCGUAAGUAUUCUUGGGAAGUGAUACGAGACUUAUUGAUAAAUGGCAAGUUAAAUUGCUUGACAACUUUUGAUCCCAAAAGUUUCUGUUUUGUACAUUUUGUAUCAUAUUUUUGUUUUUUUUUUAAUUUUUUCAUAUUUUUUUCUCUAUGCACAAAUUUAAGGGGAGAAAUAAAAAAAUCAAACAAAAAUAGAAAAAUCAUAAAAUUUAAAAAUCCAAAAUUUUGUUUGUUUUUUAUUUUAUUUCCUUUUUAUAAAAAUCAAAAUUACAAAAAUUAUUUUAUUUUUAUUUUUUAGUGUAUUUUAAUUUUAUUUUAUUUCUUAGUUAUUUCUAUUGUGUGCUAAGUUUAUUUUUACUUUUAUUUUUUAUCUCAAAGUUUUGUUUGUCUUACAAAGUGAAUUCAAAAAAGAAGAAGAGACUCAAGGAGAUUGCAUCGGAAUUGUCUGAGCAAGGAGAAGAAACUUCGAAAGGAAUUGACGGAGGAUUCAAAUGCGAGUGAUAGCCUCUUCCAUAUUAAGACAUAUAUCAGUCUUGAUAGGCACGGGCCAAGUUAAAUUUUUUAACUUGAAAAAGUGUAUUGAGAUCCUUGAUAUAGGAUAUACAGGACUAACAUCAAACUAGCCGUGAGUAGUUCUCCGAUACUCAACAAAUCGCAGUGCAUUCCUCCGUGUUCACACAGAUACUGUGAGUAGUCUCCUUCUGAGCCAAGGUUGGGUCCUUGAACAACUAUGGUGAGAAGGGUUUUUAUAACUCUGUGAUCCACAGUGACUUUUAGUCAUUUGUUACUUUUCAAGACGCAAUGGUGAUCAUUAAAGAACAUUCAUUCGACGAAACAAGAAGUCAAGAUCAUCUUUCAACACCAAAAGCAAGGUGAAGUUGUAUUGGAAGUCAUGUCACAUCCCUAAACCGAAUUGGCAGAAACAUCCGGGGGCGUAGGACGUUAUGUCAAGUAUCACAACACAUGCAUUUAUAGAAAUCAAAGUACAACAACCAUUCCAUUAAUAAUGUAUAAGUUUUUACAUAAGUUCAACAUUGGAUGUUUAACAUCAAAAGAUAGAUAUAAUAAAAGACAAAAGGCGCAGCACAAUACUAAGUUGUGUUCUCGAAAGCUCCGGGAGUGUACCUGUCUAUUGGAUUCCUGAGAAUACAAAUUAUUUUGAAAGAGAUGAUCAGCAUUUAAUGUUGGUGAGCUCAUAAGUAUUUAAAUAUGGUUGUUUUAGUUUUAGGAAAAUGGUUGAGUUUACACCAAAAAGUCCUAUACUUCUUGUUUUAAAACUGGAAAGUAGUUUUACUCCAUAAACUAUUCUGAUUAAGUGUUAUUGUACUUAUAACCUAUUUAAACAUAAUUUUAACCUUUCAUAAAAUUAUAAGUUGAAUGUUUUUCCGUUUAGUUUUAAAAGUAGUUUUAAUUCCAUAAAACCGUUCUUGUUGUAGUUUUAAUCCCAUAAAACUGUUUCUUUUGUAAAAGUAGUUUUAAUCACAUACAACCGUUCCUUUUGUAGUUUUAAUCCCAUAAAACUGUUCCUUUUGUAAAAGUAGUUUUAAUCCUGUAAAAUCGUUCCGUUUGUAGUUCUAAUCCCAUAAAACCGUUCCUUUUGUUUGUGGAAAAUGAUUAAUGGAGUAGUAUUUACUAAGCAUGAACUACCGAUGGAAUCACAACCCUGUUAUUAAGAUUAUUGAUUUGGGUUACUGUGUGAUGAUUUUAUAAACCAUAAAUCUACACUACUGGUUUAAUGACAACCCUGUCAUUAAACUGGUUAAUUAGGGUUAAAAUGUGAUAAAGUUGUAACCUAGCUGAUAGACUAGAAUUAACACGACAAGCUUCUGGCGUCGAAAAUGAAUAUGUGACAUUUGUCACCCGUAGAACAAUAGGUCCGAUGUAGCUAGCAAUGAGGUGUGGGAUUGUCACUCCUAUAUAGAUCUAUACACACAAUGCCCGCUCUCCGUCCAGGAGACUCUGGUUACAAGAGUGUGACAUAACAAGUAUAUUGUUAUGUCCUGAAAACAUACCAUCACAUUUUGGUUUAUUUGUUUUAAGUAAAGAUUUAAUGAUAUCCUUUUCUUAACAAAGUGUUUUUAAACCUGGUGUACUUAUCUAGUAAAAUAGGUAUUUUGUUUGUGUCAUAAAUUAUAACUAUCAUAAUUUAUCUGUUUUAUCUGAUUAGCAUGAUAACUCAUGAAAGUACCCCUUUACUCAACAUGAAGCAAAGGUGACUAUAUUGGAUUGAGGUAACUUUUAUAUUCCAAUAUAUACAAUAUAUAUAUAUANAUUGUAUGUUUCUUCCUGUUCUAGUUAUAGUAUGUUUGAACUGACUCAUGUAUGAACCGACUCAUGUAAGAACUAACUCAUGUUAUAACCAACUCAUGUAAGUACUGAUUCAUGUAAGUUUCAUUGUUCUAGAAAUAGUUAGUAGUAAUCCUCUAAACUAUACCUAUUAUAGUUUACUAGUAUGUUUGUUUUGUAACUGGCUUCUAGAAAAGACUCAAUUGCUCAGCGUGUACAAUUGAGUUAAGUAUAACUUUAAAGAUAAGAUUUAAUAUUCAUAUAUGUAUUUAACAUGUAUAACUAUGAGUUAAUCGACAGUCGGACUAGUGUAUCCUACCCUAAGCCCACAACCAAACAAGGAACAGGAGUCAAGGUUAUUAACAAUAGUCCUAAGUCCAUUAAAGCAUACUUAUACACUAAUACAUAAAUGAAUACAGUUUUGAAACUAAACGAGUUGAAAAGAGUUUAAAAGGUAGUUUAAAUUUGUUUCUAAACAUUUUAAAAGGUAUUAACAUGACUCUAAAAGAGUUUACAUGUCUUAAUGUCAAUUUGGAAGCAUUUGCAAAUCUUCUAUUAUUAUCACAAUCUUUAAAAUAUAAAAAAAAAAAAAAAAAAAAAAAAAAAAGUUUUUUUGGUGAUUUAUAUCACAGAUAAAUUAUUUAACGCAAUUUGAUUAUGUUCAACUUGUAUUCCCCCCCCCCCCUAAAAGUAUUUAAAAUCAUUUAAAAAUAUACAUUAUAGGGGUAUGAACUCACCUUAUGUAAAAAGUCUGACGAAAACGGACGUCGGAUGAAGAAGUUAUGGAACUUUAACGGACUUUUCCUGUCCCAACCUAUUAUAAUAUAAUAUUAAAAAUAAAGUCAAGAUUUGCCGACGGAGUCUAAACGAAAGUUGUAGAUCGUAGUCUCACCUACGCGUGGAUAUAAAGAACGUCGAAAACGGAGUUCGUAUGAGGAAGAUAUGAAUUUUUGAAGUUUACUAACUAAUUAAAAUAUAAAUUUAAUUAAAAUCCGAUAUUAUCCGAAGAAGGAGUCAUCGGACCAAUCUAGGUUACGCCCAGCGUACCCUCGUACGCCCCGCGUACUCGGAUGCUAGCCUCCGGUUCAUCCACGUCGCUCCGAUGCUUCGACUGAGGAUGCGGUCAUCCAUGACGUCUCGUACGCCCCGCGAACAAGAUACCGAGGUCUUUCAGCCCCUAUAGAAAGGUUGUGAGGGUGCCGGCCAUAUUUGCUAAUUUUCUUCCUUUCUCGCGCCGAAGCUCUGCGUUUCAACCCUCGGAGCCAUCCCAAAGUCCCGGUUUUCAUAUCCAGGUAUGGAAUGAAGUUUUACGCUCCCGAGAUUCCCGAGAAUCUCGAGAGAUCCGCUUUCUCGAGUAGAAGUUCUGUUUGGUUUUCGUCACGCUUUCUUCAAUCAAUCAAGUGAGUUCAUACCCCUAUAAUCCACACUUUUAAAUAUUUUAUAAAUGUUUUUAUAUGCUUUUAAGGGGGGGGGGAAUACAAGUAAAACACACGAUAAUUAUCGUAUCUUAUAUAAAGUUUCAUUAUACACUUUUUAUCAACGGAAUCACAUGUGAUUUAUCACUACUAUAAGGAAACUUUCAUAUGCAAAAUGUAUCACGAUGACAUCAUAUCUUUUGAAAUGAAAAGUAUUGUUAUAUAUAUAAAUCAAACACACUGCUUAUACUGUAUGUAUAUGUGUCCAUCUUAGGCACUACAAAAAUUUUAUCUUUCAUAACAAGUGAGCAUUUCACUAGGGAUUACUAUACAAACGAGGCACACUUUUAGGAAACUAUAAUAGGUAUAGUUUUACUAGAACAUCACGAACUUUUAUAUACUAGAGAUACUAUUGCAAGGAGAUACAUUCAUGUACAAGAACAAACGAACAUUUUCAUAGAUACUUCAAAUAGUUUUCACAAACGUUUUUACAUGUUGAAACACUUUUAGAAACUGUCUUACAAAAUGUAGGUUUCCUUUUUGAGUCUGUUACAAUUGUGCUUCAAACAAAGGUUUUCUCACACUUAAACUGUCAUGUCAAACGGUCUUUCUAACCGAUUUAUCAACUAACAUCAAGUCAUAAAUUCUCAUUUAUUAAACUUUUCAAAAGUUUUACAAAACUUCUUUUAUACUUUUAUAUUAUAAAUUGCAUGCCUCUAUAUGUAUAGUUAUAUAAGAAAUGUUUAAAAUACUUAGGAAGGCUAUCCACCCUGUUUCCUUUUCCUCGAUUUGGAUGUGGUCUGGUGGGAUAUCGGGUACUCUUCCGAAGGUCGUUUAAAUAUUAGUUAUAUAUCAUGUGUACAUAUAUAGUCAUAAAUGUUCCAUCAGUUAAUUCAGUUCCGAUACUCUUGGGUAACAAGGGUGUAUAAACCUACUUGGACACUCAUCAAUUACAUUCUAGUAAACUAUUAUAGGAAUAGUUUAGGGUAUACAAAACAUUAUCCCUAUUACAAGAAAUUACACCAGAGUCAGUUCAUUCAUGAGUCUAGACUACAUGCUAUAUGAAGGGAUACUCUUACAGAGAUUCCUCUUACAUGGAUACAUUUAUAUGGAUACUCUUACAGAGAUUCCUCUUACAUGGAUACACUUAUAUGGAUACUCUUACAGAGAUUCCUCUUACAUGGAUAUACUUAUAUAGAUACUCUUACAGAGAUCCUCUUAUAUGGAUACACUUAUAGGGAUACUUUUACAUAGAUACUAGGUGGUAAGAAACAAUAAGGGACUAACCAUUCCUAANGUAAAAGACUACUUUCAAAACAUUCGGGUCUUGGUAGAAGACUACUUUUAUACUAGUAGGAAAUAUGGGAUUUUCUAGAGUUUUCAUACUUAUACUAAAUGUUUCAUCAAUCAUUCACCAGUCUUUCAUAACAACUAAUCAAAGCAAUGAUAUUAAAUACUUAUGAACUCACCAGCUUAAAUGCUGACCUACACUUUCAAAAUAACUUGUAUCCUCAGGUUACAAAUAGACAGUUGCCGCUGCAAGGUUUAGAGAAGACGGAACAGUCAAGACUCGUCUUUUAUUUUGAUNNNNNNNNNNNNNNNNNNNNNNNNNNNNNNNNNNNNNNNNNNNNNNNNNNNNNNNNNNNNNNNNNNNNNNNNNNNNNNNNNNNNNNNNNNNNNNNNNNNNCCCAAAUAAGAUUUUAGGAAAGUUAAAUUUUGACCUAAAUUUGACAUGCGUUCCAUCAUGUUGGCUCCAAAUAUCGGGUUGUCACAUCAGCCCCCCUAUUAGAGGGAAUUUCGUCCCGAAAUUAGAGUUUAAACCGAACUGGUAAACAUGCUAUGGAUAGAAGUUUUAUUUGCUUCUCGUGUUCUUAAGUGAACUCGGUCCCUCGCUUGGCAUUCCAGCGAACCUUUCACUAUCGGGACACGACUUUGCUUCUUUCGUUUGACUUCACUGGCAUGACAACUCUUCUUGGUCGAACGUAUGUUGAAUGUUUUUGUGGACUGUGAGAAUAGUACAUCUUGUAUCCUACAAGUAGUGUCUCCAAAUCUUCCAAGCAAUUACCACUGCCCCUGACUCAAGAUCAUGUGUUGCAUAGUUGACUUCCUGCGUCUUAAGCUAUCUUGAGGUAUAGGCAGUGACCUUUCCUCUUGUAUAAGAACAAAACCAAUUCAUACUGAUUAUGAAGUCAGAACCUUGUCGUUGAUUAGAUGUCGGGAAGAUCUAAAAUAAAGUAUGAUUACUCAUGAAUUAAGGAAAAAGGAUAGGUACUUUUGUUCAAUCUGACUUUCUUGUCCCAAUCGACAAAAAGGGUACGUGUUGGGCUUCUAAGUUUAUUCGCAUGGCAGCAUGAUCACUCGUAGUCUUGGGUAGUCUCCAUCCUGAAGUUCAUAGUAGAACCCAUACCAGGUUCAUCAAUCACAGUCUCGGGUAUACGAGUCCUAUAUAAAUAAGCUUGAAACUGUGGGUCUUUAGAUUGAACUUGACGUACUGCACGAGUGGUACUUCGGGGCGGUUUGCUGAGUUUUUCUUCGGAAAGGAUGAGAAACAUGAGGUGCUCUAUGACGAGUACUUUGUUGUUCUGGAAUGACGGUUUUGCUAAAAAGACGAUUUCGGAGGAAGAGAUGUACGUAUGAAGCUGUUUUUGUGGGGAUAGAAUUGAAUCAAGUAGUAUGAUAAUGUCGGAAUCAUAAGGAAACUUAAAGACAUUAGGUUUAAACAUAAGAUGUUUACAGACAAAACACAACCGUGCAACCAUCAACAGAGUUACGGUACUUUAGACUUCUACAAGACUAUUGCUGUGAAUAAGGUAUACUUCGAAAGGCAAGUAUACGCAGCAGGAGCAUCCCUAUACCGACGGGAUCCUGCAAAAGAUAAGACUCUGGUUGCACUAGUUUUGGAUGGUUUAUAAGUCUGUUAUAACGACACGCCUAAGUUACAUUAACGAGGGUUUCGGAGUAGGCUCUCCUGAAGCUGUGAUCCUGAGAAUCUUCCCAUCUGCGCCAGAGUUCUUUGCUAUAGGGAAAUCCUUCUUGAAGUGCCCUAUUUCACCGCAUUGGUGGCAUGACUGGCUAUUACUUGCAUUGGUGACGGGAUUGCGGUGCUUAGCCAGUGUUAUGUGGACACGAGUGCCUUCCUCAUUACUCCACCUUGGAAAUUGCUUCCUAAAGCGUUCUAUCGGGGUUGCCACUGGUGGCUGUGGCAUGGCAAGUCUUUGGGAUCUCUUGCGCUCCCUUAGGGCUUUAUGAUAGCGUGUCUUCCUUUUGGUCUUUAGGCUUCGCAAUUCCAUGACUGUUGCCAUUUGUUGGUUUCCCGGUUUGGUACUACCAUCGGAACUCACGGUUCCUUUUUCAGCCUUGAUUGUGUUGCUUGAGUUGAUGUGUGUAAGGAAACUUGUCACAGCAGCUGCUACUGCAGCUAGUAAUGUAGCGGCGUCGAUAUGGAGGAUAGGGGUUUCGGUGCUCGGCUGAUUGUUUCUGGAUGACGACAUGAUUAUCCCUAUGAUGCAGUCCUAGUACAGAUUGGAAGUAUGUUUGCAGAAGUUUGACCUAUAUCCCUAUGAUGUAGUCCUAGUAUAGAUUGGAAGUAUGUUUGCGGAAGUUUGACCUACAUUCCUAUGAUGCUGUCCUAGUACUGAGUGGAAGUGUGUUUAUGAAGGGUUGACCUACAUCCCUAGGAUGUAGUCCUAGAAUGAGUGGAAGUAAGUUCACAGAAUGGUCUCAAGACGCUUGUCGUUCAAGCCGAGGUAUCGUUGGUUGGUGAAUAACAUGAUCCAACCAUUAAAAGAGACUUGGAAAUGUUUCCUGAGUUAAAUUACUAUGGUCAAAUGACUUGACUAAAGCAUGAUUCAGAUAGAUUCCAAUGAAAGUAUGAUAAGAGUACUUGAAUAAAGAAUGACACAGAAGUUAGCCGACUGUCAAUACCCUUGAUAUUUAUGACGUAAAAGUUUGGGAAAAUGACCUUGUAAAAGGCCUUACAUCAUAUCCAUAGGAGAUAGUUCUUGUCAUCAUAAAGAACUAACCAAAAGUACUUACAGUACAAGGUAGUCACAUAGAAAGUACUACACAGGACAUAGACAGGAACACGGUUCUUUAAAACAAAGAAGGAAGUAAGGUAUCUCUUACUGGCGACAGUCACCCCCAUGGUGAACCCUUAGUUCAAUUAGUUGACGUUCCAUAUCGAACGGGUAUCUCUCGUACACUCUCUGGCGUACUUGGAGCUCUAUGACUUUGGCUCGGGUGUUUGGCUAGUGCUUGCAGCAGGGUCUCAUGGUUUCUCUCUGAUCUCUCGUGAGCAUCUCCUAGAUGAAUGGUGCGGAGGGUAUGCAUUCUUGCAUCAACGACAACUUCGGCAUUCUAAUGUAGGGCUGUCCUGCCUUGAAUCUCAUUUCGGGCCACUCNNNNNNNNNNNNNNNNNNNNNNNNNNNNNNNNNNNNNNNNNNNNNNNNNNNNNNNNNNNNNNNNNNNNNNNNNNNNNNNNNNNNNNNNNNNNNNNNNNNNAUAAUUAUCGCGUGUUUUACUUGUAUUCCCCUCUUAAAAGCAUAUAAAAACAUUUAUAAAACAUUUAAAUGUGUGGAUUAUAGGGAUAUGAACUCACUUGAUUGAUUGAAGAAAGCGUGACGAAAACCGAACAGAACUUCUACUCGAGAAAGCGGAUCUCUCGAGAUUCUCGGGAAUCUCGGGAGCGUAAAACUUCAUUCCAUACUUGGAUAUGAAAAACGGGACUUUGGGAUGGCUCCGAGGGUUGAAACGCAGAGCUUCGGCGCGAGAAAGGAAGAAAAUUAGCAAAUAUGGCCGGCACCCUCGCAACCUUUAUAUAGGGGCUGAAAGACCUCGGUACGCGGGGCGUACGAGACGUCAUGGAUGACCGGAUCCUCGGUCGAAGCAUCGGAGCGACGUGGACGAACCGGAGCCUAGCAUCCGAGUACACGGGGCGUAUGAGGGUACGCUGGGCGUAACCUAGAUUUGUCCGAUGACUCCUUCGGAUAAUACCGGAUUUUAAUUAAAUUUAUAUUUUAAUUAAUUAGUAAACUUCAAAAAUUCAUAUCCUCCUCAUACGAACUCCGUUUUCGACGUUCUUUGUAUCCACGCGUAGGUGAGACUACGAUCUACAAAUUUUGUUUUGACUCCGUCGGCAAAUCUUGACUUUAUUUUUAAUAUUAUAUUAUAAUAGGUCGGGACAGGAAAAGUUCGUUAAAGUUCCAUAACUUCUUCAUCCGACGUCCGUUUUCGUCAGACUUUUUAUUGUUGCGCUAGUAUUGUUGAGCCCUUCGAUUCUCAUUUAGAUCGUGUCGGCUAAAAGUCUCUCGAUCUCUAUUUCGAGUUUUUAGCUGUCUACUGUUAUAUCUGUAACUUAGAAUAAUCACAACUUCCUCAUACGAAGUCAGAUUUGGAUGUUCUUUUUAUGCACCUUUACGGUUUAAUGAUAUCUAAAACUUUUAUUUAGAUACUUAAGGCUAAAAACUAUUGUAUUGAAAUUUCGCAUUUUACGUCUAUCAGUAUUGCCGGUUUUCGCCGAGAAUCUUUUGUUGGUUAUAACUUCUUCGUUAUAACUCGGAUUUUAGGGUUCUUUAUAGGUAUGAAAACCUUGAUACGAUUUCUACUACUUUAUUUAACCCAAAUAAGAUUUUAGGAAAGUUAAAUUUUGACCUAAAUUUGACUUGCGUUCGAUCAUAUUGGCUCAAAAUAUCGGGUUGUCACAUCAGCCCCCCUAUUAGUGGGAAUUUCGUCCCGAAAUUAGAGUUUAAACCGAACUGGUAAACAUGCUAUGGAUAGAAGUUUUAUUUGCUUCUCGUGUUCUUAAGUGAACUCGGUCCCUCGCUUGGCAUUCCAGCGAACCUUUCACUAUCGGGACACGACUUUGCUUCUUUCGUUUGACUUCACUGGCAUGACAACUCUUCUUGGUCGAACGUAUGUUGAAUGUUUUUGUGGACUUUGAGAAUAGUACAUCUUGUAUCCUACAAGUAGUGUCUCCAAAUCUUCCAAGCAAUUACCGCUGCCCCUGACUCAAGAUCAUGUGUUGCAUAGUUAACUUCCUGCAUCUUAAGCUGUCUUGAGGUAUAGGCAGUGACCUUUCCUCUUGUAUAAGAACAAAACCAAUUCAUACUGAUUAUGAAGUCAGAACCAUGUCAUUGAUUAGAUGUCGUGAAGAUCUAAAAUAAAGUAUGAUUACUCAUGAAUUAAGGAAAAAGGAUAGGUACUUUUGUUCUAUCUGACUUUUUUGUCCCAAUCGACAGAAAGGGCACAUGUUAGGCUUCUAAGUUUAUUCGCAUGGCAGCAUGAUCACUUGUAGUCUUGGGUAGUCUCUGUCCUGAAGUUCAUUAUAGAACCCAUACCAGGUUCAUCAAUCAUAGUCUCGGGUAUACGAGUCCUAUAUAAAUAAGCUUGAAACUGUGGGUCUUUAGAUUGAACUUGACGUACUGCACGAGCGGUACUUCGGGGCUGUUUGCUGAGUUUUUCUUUGGAAAGGAUGAGAAACAUGAGGUGCUCUAUGUACGAGUACCUUGUUGUUCUGGAAUGAUGGUUUUUGCUAGAAAGACGAUUUCGGAGGAAUAGAUGUACGUACGAAGCUGCUUUUGUGAGGAUAGAAUUGAAUCAAGUAGUAUGAUAAUGUCGUAAUCAUAAGGAAACUUAAAGNUUAAAGACAUUAGGUUUGAACAUAAGAUGUUUACAGACAAAACACAACCGUGCAACCAUCAACAUAGUUAUGGUACUUUAGACUUCUACAAGACUAUUGCUGCGAAUAAGGUAUACUUGGAAAGGCAAGUAUACGCAGCACGAGCAUCCCUAUACCGACGGGAUCCUGCAAAAGAUAAGACUCUGGUUGUACUAGUUUUGGAUGGUUUAUAAGUCUGUUAUAACGACACGCCUAAGUUACAAUAACGAGGGUUUCGGAGUAGGCUCUCCUGAAGCUGUGAUCCUGAGAAUCUUCCCAUUUGCGCCAGAGUUCUUUACUAUAGGGAAAUCCUUCUUGAAGUGCCCUAUUUCACCGCAUUGGUUGCAUGACUGGCUAUUACUUGCAUUGGUGACGGGAUUGCGGUGCUUAGCCAGUGUUAUGUGGACACGAGUGCCUUCCUCAUUACUCCACCUUGAAAAUUGCUUCCUAAAGUGUUCUGCCGGAGUUGCCACUGGUGGCUAUGGCAUGGCAAGUCUUUGGGCUCUCUUGCGCUCCCUUAGGGCUUUACGAUAGCGUCUCUUCCUUUCGAUCUUUAGGCUUCGCAAUUCCAUGACUAUUGCCAUUUGUUGGUUUCCCGGUUUGGUAGUACCAUCGGAACUCAUGGUUCCUUUUUCAGCCUUGAUUGUGUUGCUUGAGUUGAUGUGUGUAAGGAAACUUGUCACAGCAGCUGCUACUGCAGCUAGUAAUGUAGCGGCGUCAAUAUGGAGGAUAGGGGUUUUGGUGCUCGGCUGAUUGUUUCUUGAUGACGACAUGAUUAUCCCUAUGAUGCAGUCCUAGUACAGAUUGGAAGUAUGUUUGCGGAAGUUUGACCUACAUCCAUAUGAUGCAGUCCUAGUAUAGACUGGAAGUAUGUUUGCGGAAGUUUGACCUACAUCCCUAUGAUGCAGUCCUAGUACUGAGUGGAAGUGUGUUUAUGAAGGGUUGCCCUACAUCCCUAUGAUGUUGUCCUAGAAUGAGUGGAAGUAAGUUCAUAGAAUGGUCUCAAGACGCUUGUCGUUCAAGCCGAGGUAUCGUUGGUUGGUGAAUAACAUGAUCCACCCAUUAAAAGAGACAUGGAAAUGUUUCUUGAGUUAAAUUACUAUGGUCAAAUGACUUGACUAAAGCAUGAUUCAGAUAGAUUCCAAUGAAAGUAUGAUAAGAGUACUUGAAUAAAGAAUGACACAGAAGUUAGCCGACUGUCAAUAAGUUUGAUAUUUAUGACGUAAAAGUUUGGGAAAAUGACCUUGUAAUAGGCCUUACAUCAUAUCCAUAGGAGAUAGUUCUUGUCAUCAUAAAGAACUAACCAAAAGUACUUACAGUACUAGGUAGUCACAUAGAAAGUACUACACAGGACAUAGACAGGAACACGGUUCUUUAAAACAAAGAAGGAAGUAAGGUAUCUCUUACUGGCGACAGUCACCCCCAUGGUGAACCCUUAGUUCAGUUAAUUGACGUUCCAUAUCCAGCAGGUAUCUCUCGUACACUCUUUGGCGUACUUGGAGCUCUAUGACUUUGGCUCGGAUGUUCGGCUAGUGCUUGCAGCAGGGUCUCAUGGUUUCUCUCUGAUCUCUUGUGAGCAUCUCCUAGAUGAAUGGUGCGGAGGGUAUGCAUUCUUGCAUCGACGACAACUUCGCCAAUCUGAUUUAGGGCUGUCCUACCUUGAAUCUUAUUUCGGGCCACUCUGCGGACGAAGAUUGGCAAGAUUCUGCAUGCUGAGCCCCCAUUGGUCAGGUCGUAAAAGUUUCGGUUGCCAAUAAAUGGCAUGGGCUGAUCUUGUCCUUGGCUCCAUGUUUCCAAUCAUUCCACCGACUCAGGCAUCGGGCCAUGAAAAGCCAGACGAGGGUUAGGAAUUAGAAAGGGAAUUGCUCGGGGUAGGUUCUCCAUCUCUGGUUCGGAAUUAGCAUUGUCUGAAAGGUUUUCAUUACGAUGAUAAUUCAAAUGGAUAGGAUGAUCAUUCUCUGGUUCUUCUCUAAACCAACCGGCUAUGACUUCGAUCGGAAGAUACCGGUUGCCGUGGCGAUGGAGUNNNNNNNNNNNNNNNNNNNNNNNNNNNNNNNNNNNNNNNNNNNNNNNNNNNNNNNNNNNNNNNNNNNNNNNNNNNNNNNNNNNNNNNNNNNNNNNNNNNNCAUAACAUGUAUUUCAUAGAAAAUAAAUCAGAUCUAUGAGAUAGAUGAGAAUCAGUAUACAUUCACACAUAUAACAACAAAAUUAUACACAUAACACGUAUUUCAUAUAAAAUACUUCAUAAUUAUAUGUUAGAAGAAAGUAACUACACUCACACGUAUAAAUCACAAUAUACUUAAUACACUCAAACCAUACUUGUAUUAUUAUCGUGUUUAUGAAAGGUAGUAUACACUCACUUGAUCAGAAGAUGAUCGGACAACACUACGACUUGCAGAAGUAGUAAUCCUCAGCAGAUCUGGAAGAUCUCCACAAAAAUCGAACUUCUCGCGGGCAGAGCUUCGGCUCGGGAACCGCACUUCUCGGGAUCUUCGGGAUCUCGGGACUUGCUUCGGGGCUCGAGAAUAUUACCGGGGCUUCGGGGUAUUUCUGGCACGCAAAUAGAUGCAAAACGGGAGAGAGAAGAGAUAAAAAUAGCAAUUGAGUCGGCUGCCUUCGGAUCCUAUUUAUAGGAGGCUGGAGCCUCGGAGUACGCGAGGCGUACGAGGGUACGCGGGGCGUACUCGUCCGAAAUCGUCAUGGCGUUCGUCAUUCGAAGAACUCGAGUGCGAAGGUCGUCAUGCUUCGCUGUACGCGGGGCGUACAGCAGUACGCUGGGCGUACUUCGGAUAUGCCUGGUGACUCCCCUUCGGAUAAUACCGGGUUUAAUAAUUAAAUUUAAAUAUUGAUUAUUUAAAAAACUUUGAAAAUGCAUAUCCUCUUCAUACGAACUCCGUUUUCGACGUUCUUUAUAUCCGCGCGAAGGUGAGACUACGCUCUACAACUUUCGUUUAGACUCCGUCAGCUAAUUUUAAUUUUAUUUUUAUUAUUUAUUUUUAAUAGGUCGGGAAAGAAAAACUUCGUUAUAAAUUCAUAACUUCUUUGUUUGACGUCCGUUCUCGCCUAACUUUUCAUCGCUUCGAUACCAAAAACGAGACCUUCGAUCCUCGUUUAGAUUGCUUCGACUAAAAACCGCUCGAUCUCAAAUCGAGUAUUUCAUGUUGCAUACCGCUAAGCCGAAACUUCAAUAAAUCAUAACAUCCUCAUACGAAGUCAGAUUUGGGCGUUCUAUAUAUAUUCGGAAACCUCGUUUCAACUACUACAACAUUAUCCAAAGAUAUCAAGUUUAUUUUACACUUAAAUUUUGACGCUUAUUUUUAUUCUUAAUUAAUCAAACCACAUAAUUAAGCAAUUAAGCACAAAACACAUAAUACUCAAAUAAUACAAUCUNUGUAUUUAUAGUUAGUAUAUCUUUUAUGGGUUGAUAUACUCAAUUCACUAUAAACAAUGCUCUGAUACCAAUCUGUCACACCCCAAAACCGAGAACGGCGGAAACGUUCUGGGGCGGAAGACGUCAUGUAUGCAUCACAACAAAUGUAAAGUAGUAAACAAGCAACAACAUCAUCCAUUUCAUUAAUAGUAUAAUUUAGUUACAAGUGUUUUCUUUCAUCGUACAAGACAAAAUGAUAACGGAUCAAAAUAAAAGACGAGUCUUGACUGCUCCGUCUUCUCUAAACCUUGCAUCGGCACGUGUCUAUUUGUAACCUGAGAAUACAAGUUAUUUUGAAAGUGUAGGUCAGCAUUUAAGCUGGUGAGUUCAUAAGUAUUUAAUGUCAUUGCUUUGAUUAGGUUUUAUGAAAGACUGGUGAAUGACUGAUGAAACAUUUAGUAUAACUAUGAAAACUCUAGAAAAUCCCAUAUUUCCUACUAGUAUAAAAGUAGUCUUCUACCAAGACCCGAAUGUUUUGAAAGUAGUCUUUUACUAAGACCUGACUGUUUUGAAAGUAUGCAUCACUUGAAAAUGUGACGGUUUUUCCCUGUUUAACUAUUUUUAUAAAACUAUAAAAGUAAUAAUAUAAUAGCUUAUGUUGUAUCCUUUCGUACUAAGAUACACACGGCGUGGAAACUCGCCGUAAACAGAUCAACCGUAGACAUCCGUAAAUGUGCAUUUACCUCUGUUGCUAACAGCUGGAUUUAAGAAUAGUUAGUCCCUUAAGUAAUGAUACACACGGCAUGGAAACUCGCCGUAAACAGAUCAACCGCAGACAUCCGUAGAUGUNNNNNNNNNNNNNNNNNNNNNNNNNNNNNNNNNNNNNNNNNNNNNNNNNNNNNNNNNNNNNNNNNNNNNNNNNNNNNNNNNNNNNNNNNNNNNNNNNNNNUUCAUUACACCUAGUUCAUCGCCCUGGGGAGCUCUGGUGUUAUUCGUAAAGAGGAAAGAUGGAAGUAUGAGGAUGUGCAUUGAUUACAGAGAGCUGAAUAAAGCAACGAUAAAGAAUAGAUACCCGUUGCCGAGGNAUCAAUUGCAAGGUUCGAGCUAUUUCUCGAAGAUCGAUCUUAGGUCAGGAUAUCAUCAGCUGAAAGUAAGAGAGCAAGAUAUCGAGAAGACUGCAUUCAGAACUAGAUAUGGACACUACGAGUUCUUGGUUAUGUCGUUUGGACUAACCAAUGCUCCGGCAGCGUUCAUGGAUUUGAUGAAUAGGGUUUGUAAUCCGUUCCUUGAUAAAUCUGUGAUAGUGUUCAUAGAUGACAUUUUGAUUUAUUCAAAGAGCCAAGAAGAGCAUGGCAGACAAUUGCGAGAAGUUUUAGAAGUCUUGAAGAAGGAGAAGUUGUAUGCUAAGUUCUCCAAAUGUGAUUUUUGGAUUCGUGAAGUCCAAUUCUUGGGUCACGUGGUCAACCAAGAAGGGAUAAUGGUUGAUCCAGUAAAGAUCGAAGCUGUGAUGAAGUGGGAACAACCGAAAAGUCCCACGGAGAUCCGUAGCUUUUUAGGAUUAGCCAAUUAUUACCGAAGGUUUAUCCAAGGUUUUUCUUCGAUUGCUACUCCAUUAACAGCGUUGACCCACAAAGGAGCUACUUAUGCUUGGAGUGAGAAGCAUAAAGAAGCAUUCGAGAAGCUAAAGAAGAAACUAUGCGAGGCACCGAUACUUUCUCUACCCGAUGGAGUUGAAGACUUCGCUGUUUAUAGCGAUGCGUCUGGUGUUGGAUUGGGUUGUGUUUUGACCCAAAGAGAAAAGGUGAUAGCAUAUGCGUCUCGACAGCUGAAAGAGCAUGAAAAGAAUUACCCGACUCAUGAUUUGGAGUUGGCAGCGGUAGUUUUCGCUCUGAAAAUAUGGAGGCAUUACCUCUAUGGCACGAAGUGCAAACUUUUCACUGAUCAUAAGAGUCUCCAAUACCUCUUUAAUCAGAAAGAAUUGAAUAUGAGGCAACGACGCUGGCUAGAAUUACUUAAAGACUACGACUGCGAGAUACUUUACCACCCCGGUAAAGCUAAUGUUGUUGCUGAUGCUCUCAGUCGGAAGGUCAAUCUUGAAAGGAAGAGGCCAAGAGCGUUGAGAAUUGAAGUUGUCUCGACCAUUGUGGAAAGUAUAAAGAAAGCUCAAGAGGAAGCUUCUGAGAAAAAUGACCGAAAGGAGGAACGUUUGGGUAAAACGUUGGUGUUUGGUACUAACGGUCAUGGACUGAAGGUAUUCCAAGAUCGUAUUUGGGUACCUAAGUCAGGAGGAAUUAGAGAUCUUCUGAUGGAAGAAGCUCACAAGACCAUGUACUCGAUUCAUCCGGGUAGCACUAAAAUGUAUAGGGACCUGAAACCCUACUACUGGUGGCCGACGAUGAAGCUUGAUGUUGCAAAGUAUGUGGCCGAGUGUGUGACUUGUGCGAGAGUCAAGACACAACAUCAGAAACCGUACGGGAGUUUAGAACCUUUGCCUGUGCCUAUGGGUAAGUGGGAAGACAUUGCUAUGGAUUUUGUCACUAAACUGCCCAGAACAAAGAAUGGUCACGACAUGAUUUGGGUGGUCGUUGAUCGAUUCACUAAGAGUGCGCAUUUCAUAGCGGCCAGGGAGAAAUGGUCUAUGGAAAAGCUUGCGAAUUCUUACGUGAAGGAAAUUGUGAGGCUUCACGGUGUUCCGUUAACGAUUGUAUCGGAUCGUGAUAGCCGUUUCACCUCAAGGUUUUGGAAAAGUCUACAAGAGGAAAUGGGUACCAAGUUAUGUUUAAGCACAGCUUACCAUCCGCAGACUGAUGGUCAGAGUGAAAGAACAAUACAAACACUUGAAGAUAUGCUGAGAGCAUGUACCUUGGAAUUCCUAGGUAAUUGGGAUGAACAUUUACCGUUGGUAGAAUUUUCCUAUAAUAAUAGUUUUCACUCGAGCAUUAAGAUGGCACCUUAUCAAGCUUUGUAUGGACAGAAGUGUCGUACGCCGUCUUGUUGGCUUGAGGCUGGGGAAAAGCAGUUUAUGGGACCGGAGAUGGUUCAUCAAACUGCUGAAAAGUUGAAAAUAAUUAGGGAAAGAAUGUUAGCAGCUCAAGAUCGUCAAAAGAGCUAUGCUGACAAGAAGCGAAGACCGAUGACUUUUGAGGUUGGAGAUUCGGUUUUGCUUAAAGUCUCGCCGUGGAAGGGACUUAUAAGAUUUGGUAAAAGGGGAAAGUUGAGUCCAAGGUUUAUUGGACCGUUUAAAGUUCUUCAGAGGAUUGGGAACCAAGCUUACAAGCUCGAAUUACCCGAAGAACUGAAUGGAAUUCACAACACCUUUCAUGUGUGUUAUUUGAGGAAGUUCACGGGAGAAGUUCCCGAUAUAAUUCCAAUUUCUGAAUUGAGAAUUGAUGAGAACAAAAGGUUGAUUGAAGAACCAGAGGCAAUUGUUGACCGAAAGACUAAGAAGUUGCGACGCAAAAUGGUUGGGUUAGUGCUUGUCCGAUGGAAACACACGAAUGGGCCGAAUCUCACCUGGGAAACGGAGAGUGACAUGUUGAGUCGCUAUCCGCAUUUGUUUGUUGAUGUGUGAUUCCGGGGACGGAAUCAUUCUAAGGUGGAGAGAAUUGUAACGCCUGUGUUUCCGGGCUUGCCAUUUUUAGCAAUGUAAUAGUCUAGGUUAACCUUUGUAACCCGUUUUGAAAUAAUAAGAUUGUAUUAUUUGAGUAUUAUGUGUUUUGUGCUUAAUUGCUUAAUUAUGUGGUUUGAUUAAUUAAGAAUAAAAAUAAGCGUCAAAAUUUAAGUGUAAAAUAAAGUUGAUAUCUUUGGAUAAUGUUGUAAUAGUUGAAACGAGGUUUCCGAAUAUAUAUAGAACGCCCAAAUCUGACUUCAUAUGAGGAUGUUAUGAUUUAUCGAAGUUUCGGCUUAGCGGUACACAGCCUGAAAUACUCGAUUUGAGAUCGAGCGGUUUUUAGCCGAUGCAAUCUAAACGAGGAUCGAAGGUCUCGUUGUUGGUAUCGAAGCGAUGAAAAGUUAGGCGAGAACGGACGUCAAACGAAGAAGUUAUGAAUUUAUAACGAAGUUUUUCUGUCCCGGCCUAUUAAAAAUAAAAAAUAAAAAUAAAUUUAAAAUUAGCCGACAGAGUCUAAACGAAAGUUGUAGAGCGUAGUCUCACAUUCUCGUGGAUAUAAAGAACGUCGAAAACGGAGUUCGUAUGAAGAAGAUAUGCAUUUUCAAAGUUUAUUAAAUAGUUAAUAUUUAAAUUUAAUUAUUAAACCCGGUAUUAUCCGAAGGGGUGUCACCGGGCAUAUCCGAAGUACGCCCCGCGUACUCCGAGGCUCCAGCCUCCUAUAAAUAGGAUCUGAAGGCAGCCGACUCAAUUGCUAUUUUUCUCUCUUCUCUCUCCCGUUUUGCAUCGAUUUGCGUGCCAGAAAUACCCCGAAGCCCCGGUAAUAUUCUCGAGCCCCAAAGCAAGUCCCGAGAUCCCGAAGAUCCCGAGAAGUGCGAUUCCCGAGCCGAAGCUCUGCCCGCGAGAAGUUCGAUUUUUGUAGAGAUCUUCCAGAUCUGCUGAGGAUUACUACUUCUGCAAGUCGUAGUGCUGUCCGAUCAUCUUCUGAUCAAGUGAGUGUAUACUACCUUUCAUAAACACGAUAAUAAUACAAGUAUGGUUUGAGUGUAUUAAGUAUAUUGUUGUUUAUGUGUAUAAUUUUGUUGUUAUAAGUGUGAAUGUAUAUUCAUUCUCUUCUAUCUCAUAGAUCUGAUUUACUUUCUAUGAAAUACGUGUUAUGUGGGUGUGCCUCAUCUGUUAUGUGGAAUAUGUAUUGAAUGAAAAUGAUAUACAGGUUUUAAACUAUGUAUGAAAAUAUAUAUUUUUAUCUACUAAUAUGUUGGGUAGAACAUGGGUAGAUAGUUGGUGUGUAAUAAACAGAUGAGAGGCCUCGAUGUUGUUGUUGUUGUUGAUCUAGUUAUUCAGCGGAGUAUGGAUAACGACCACGGACUCUUUCUAGACAGUCCAGUGGAACGCUAGCAGGUUCAUAACCUGUAGGUGUUGUGAACGAUGUGUUCACCGGUGUACUCUAUCCCCCUCAUGGUUGCCUUUAGGAUAUCUAUUGUUGAGGAAACCCCUUAGCAGUAAUGUCUGUCCCGAUGAAAAUCCUAGAUUAGGUCCCUUGAGAUAGAUGUUAUUUUAGGGACGUAAAGUGAGGAUAACGGGAAUGGGUAAUCGGGAUAGUGAUUGGUUGGUGAAAUUAAAUAUAAUUUAUUUAUUGUGGGUUGAAAACCCUAUCUGCUCACCAGGCUCCCAAGCCUGACCCACUCAGUUUUAUUUGUAUUACAGGAAGUGGCGCAAGGGCGUAAGAUGGAUGAAUCAUCGAGUUGUUUUGUUUACAAGUCUGUAUAUGUAUAUAUUUGUUGAAUGACUUGUAAUGUUAUCGUUUAUGAUUUAUGGUCUGUAUCGGAACAUGACAUCCCGAGUUUUGAUUAUAUAAUGAAAAUGCAUCUCUUGAUGAAAUGCUUUGAUAAAUAUUAUUUUAUCAUGUUUGUUUUGGGAACAAAUUCCGCAACACUUUUAAAUCAAAAGGAUUUACUUUGAAAUUAUUUUAAAAAGCAUAAAUGAAAUCGGUCUUUUCUGGCCGAGAUUUUGGGGAUGUCCCAACUUUGGUGGACGAUAAUUGAGAGAGAACUCGAGUUCUUAACUGGAAGAUGAAGAAAUGAAUGAAAAAUGAAGGGAAUUUAUACUUAUAGGAAGGGGGUUCACGACCCUAGGGAGAGUUCACAGCCAUAAACUAGGUUUGCGGACAUGAACCUCAAGUAUUGGGUCUUUUGGUUCAAAUGCAGCCUUCUAAUCUCGAGUUAAUACUUCCUAACACUCAUUCCUUAAGUGUACUAGGCUCAAAAGCUUAAGAAUGACUCUUAACACAGCUAGAUGGUAGCAGAAACAAGGCUGAACUUGUGAUGGGUUUUGUCGACUUACAGGAUAGGAUCUUUCGGGUUGUCACAAGUCAUGUGACGAAGUGUAUUGAAGCCUCCACAAUCAAUUUGCUGCUAUUUAACCUGCUGAAGUGAUCUAGAAGAAUCGGUGUCUCUGUUAUUUUCUAUGAAGAUUCUCACAGCUGCAAGUGUUGAUUAUCAAGAAUCCUUACAAGAAGCCUCUACACCCAAUGUGCGUUCAAAGUAAAAUUCUAAGAAGGAUAUCCAACUGUUAAAGAUGAAGUUAUUCACGAAGAUUCAUAUGUUCAUCUUGAAGUUAUGAAGAAAUCAAAGACAAAAGAUGAAGUCAAGAACAAAGCGAAUAUUUAAAAGAAUAGAAAGCUACAAUCCCAGGGGGAGAUUGUUAGGAUAUAAGAAAAGAAAGCUAUAAACCAAGGGGGAGAUUGUUAGGAUAUUAGAAAAGAAAGAUAUAAACCAAGCGAGAGGUUGUUAGUUCAUAAAUUGUGGUUUAUACUUUGCUUUUCAUAAGAUUUUAGAGUUCUCAGUCUAGGACUGAAAACACCAUGUUUUGGUGUUGUUUGGACCUAAAUAAACAUGUGAUUUUGGUUAGGCUUAAUAUUGUUUUCUUUGGGUUUUGGGCUUGGGCUUUUUUAUUAGGUCUCGGUAUAAAUAGUGUUAUUUUAACCUAGAUAGGGGUGUUGGAUGUUUUGGGCGUUGCUAUUUGCUAGGAAUGUGAUUUAGAGAGAAACAAGAGAGAACCAAGUGUAAUCAAGAAUCUUAUGUACCCAACUAUACUGCCAUCCAUUUCUCUAGGAUACUAAGCUAACAAGGUAUAAUCUCAUAUCACUAGCUCAACUACCAGGAUACUAGCAAGCAUAUCAUCACAUAACAUAACAAGCUCUAACAACAAUUCAAAGGGUCGGCCUUGGUGCCUUAGACCCUUGAAUACAGUGAGGAAAACUCACUUUGAAUUGUUGAAACACCGAUGGUAUCCUUCUGAUUGCUAUCUGACAAUCCCCGUACCGCUGCUCCUCUAGCGCCUCGAACUAAUCAAAGCCACAAAAACACUUAGCCCCAAAACAAUAUCCUUCUAAGGGUAAAUAGACCACUUUACCCUUAACCCAAUCUGGUCCAAGACUAAGGUCCAAGAUCACAACAUGAAAAGACCAACCUAGAAAAGCUUCUCAAGCCCACUAGUGACCCACUAAUGGCCUAAUUGCUACAUUGGGCCCAAUCCCUUAAUGGGCCUCACCAUAAGCCCAAAAUAUAUUCCUUGGCCCAUAUAAUAUGGUUUCUGUGGGCCCACUAAGGCCCAAAUACCCAAACAUAACCCAAACCACGGCCCAAAACUCAUGAUCCAACAGACAGGGUUACGUGGGGCGUACAUCAAUGUACGCUUAACAUACAGGCUCGAAGUUGGUACGAUGGGCAUACCUGCACGUACACGCAGUGUAGCGCUCUGCUAAGUCAUUUCCUCAUUAAGUGCUUAACACUCCAAACCAGUUUGUAUAAUCACAGAUCCAAGUCCAUUAAGAUGUCUUAAGCUAUAAAGUCGACUACUUGGUGACUUGCAACCCACCAAAUGAACCCAAACUUAAAAUAUAACACCAUACUUCCAUAAAGGUAGCUAGAUCUCAUGCAUGAUCACAAAUGAGCCCUAAAUGUUGAAACUUUACUGCAUAAGGGACUCAUACGACACUAAGGGUGGCAACCCGGGACUUAGAAACGUGCUGGAGCCAUAAAGAUGCAUUCUUGGGACCAAAAAGUCCAUAAAAUUGUACCAAGAGAUAUCUAAGAGAUUAUUCAUCAAGAACAAAGCUUUUUACCUUGAUGAGGCCCGAAAUGAAACACUUGUCCCAGAUCUAUAUGCUAUAGCUUCCAAGGUUCCUCUUUCCCAAUCUUCUUCCCUUCUCUUCCAAGCUAAAAACCACCAAGAUGAGCUUUUCAAGGCCAAGAUCUCUAAAAAUGGAGGUUGGAACGCUCUACGGUUGCUUAUGAGGUUAGGGAGGCUGAUAUGGGGGCUAGGGUUGAAGCCAUUAUGUUCUAUUUAUAGUGGCUCAACCCAAAUUAGGGUUUAAUGAACUUUUGCGUACGCUGGCUAUCCAUACCCCUGAACUCGGAAAGUUAGAUUGGAUCUGUCCCCCAGACAGGCCGUCCAAACUAACCAUCCCCUGACCUCUUCUCAUUGCUAAGAAAAGGAAUUACUCAACUGUGGGAUCCUGAAUUCCCAACCUGGAAAUAGGACCACGAGUCAUACUCUGCUGUCAGCCACACUUGCUCUCUUUUACUCAUACUCAAACGUACAUGCAACAAUGCUCUUACCAGACCAACACUCACACCCUGGCCCAAUCACCCUCGGGCUGGAAUACCAGGCAUACCUACGACAGGUCCGUUCAUCCCCAGGAUGGAUUACCCUCGUAUCCCUAUGCAUGUUUCGCCCAAUCAACCCUCGGGUUGGAAUACCAAACACAUCAGGUCCAAUAAACCAUAGGGUCCGGUCAUCCUCAUGAUGGAAUACCCCAGAAUGGAAUACCUCCAUUUACAUAACCUAACCUAUAACCAAACUUGGAACCAAGGACCUUGUCCUUACAUCACCCUCGAACCCUUCGGUUCGCCACAUCUGUGUGUAACCCACUCGUACCACCCUAUUAUAAUCUCUAGGUCCUUGACCUCCAAUUGCAAUAUCUCACACAGUCCUCAUCAUCCGGUCCAGAAUGCUCCUGAGUCUGUUAACCUACUAUCCCACUUUCUUUUAUCCACACCUCCAAUUUGGAGCCACUAUCCCCCUCCUCUUCCAAGGAGACUGAAAAAAUGCCUAUGCAUCAUCCAACAUUGCCACCGCGACAGAUCCUUGCUAUACAUCACCCCUUAGCGUUGCCCACCGCUAUCUCAUAUCAUGCAUACAUACUCAGAGACUGGUUGCAUACCCAGCAACCCAUACAUAACCUGCCGCAUUUCCUCGACACAUGCAAGCCCUUACUAUAACUGAACCGCCUCAUCGCACCAUCUCAAUAACCAACGUUCAAACCGCUCCAGACAACCUUCAACCACCAGUAGUUCAUUCGAAAAUUUCCAAUUCUCCCCCACUUAGGGCACUAACCACCAUCCACUAGCGGCGAAGCUAACAUGCUGCUCAAUCGAACCCACAAAUACACUGAACUUCAAGGAAACUAAGUUCCUGCUGAAAGUUCCCAAAUUAUCGAACCAUAACUUUCCCCUCUCACGAAUUCCACACUGGAUGUUAACCCUCUAAGAACCCUCAAUACUUUCUCUCCUCUAAUAUAUGCAAUACUAAAACAUUUCAUGUAAGAUACAACAUCUCAUAAUCAAAGCAUAAACAAGAUAGGGUAGAAAACAUACCGACUGACACCUCUGGCUCAGAUCUGAUCUCCUCAGUCACAAGCUGAUAACCACACCCUGGAGCCUUCGAAGGCUCUGCUCGAACCUGACCUCCGUCAGUAAGUCUCAAAGUGGUUGGCGCUGGGGCCUGCACUGACCUGGCAACCAGUAAAGGACACUAGACCUUCAUAUGGCCCACCUGAUCAGAAUGAUAACAAUGUGGGACCCCUGCCGCUGGAGUCGACUGCUUGCAAUCCCUGGCUGUGUGGCCCUCCUUGCCACACUUGUGGCACCCAUAAGAAGAAUGACAACUACCCUCGUGCACCUUGCCGCACUUCCCGCAAGUGUGACUCCUCUGACCUCUCUAUCAAUAAUCAGCGGACCUCAUCCGCUUCGGUGCAGGCUGCGACUGCAUCGGGGCCUGCCGCUCAAUCACUAACUUACGCCAUCUAGCGGCUUCGUACAACUCCAACAAGGUACUACACCUCUGAAUGGAUACAAACUACCUGAUGUCCCUCUUGAGCAUACUCAGAUAUCGAGACAUCUGAGCCUGCUCUGAAUCAAACUCCGGGCAAAACAUCGCCCUCUCAUUGAACAUCUUGGUGAUCUCCGUCACCGACUCUGAACCCUGCUUCAGUUCCAAGAACUCCUGAGCCAACCUAUCUCUCAACUUGUGGAACAUAAAGAGUACUGAACAUUUCCUGGAACUGGUCCCACAAGACCGCAGCCCGCUGUACAUCUGAAUAAGAUCCCGUGGUCAACCUCCACCAAUCCUUUGCCCCGAGCCUCAAAAGGUUCAGAGCACACCUCACCCUCUGAUUUGCUGGGCAUGAACACGUGAAGAAGCAACCCUCCACGUCUGACAACCACCUCAUAGCAACGAUCGGAUCCUAAACUCCAUCAAAAGUAGGGGGCUUCGUAUUGUCGGAAUCCCGAUACUGGAAACCUCGACUGGCUCCUCCCCCUACCUCUGCCACAGCCGUUGCGGCUNGCUGUCUCUGAAAGAGCUGCAUAGCGCUCAUCAAAAUACUCAAACAUGGCGGUCUUGAUCGACCCAAACAGUUUCGGCAACUCAUCCUGGAACAUAGCAGCAACCUCAUCAUGUAGGAUGUCACGAAUCCUAGCAUCCAACUCAUCCGUACUCAUCUGCCUAAUAACCUCGGGUGGUACUGGUCCAUCCUGGCCACCCUCUCCUGAUCCCGAUCCCGAACCGGAUCCUGCCUCCAAACAUCUUACAUCCGCCAUACUGAAAUGAACCAUAAGAAACUCAAAUACCUCGCAUAACCGCUGAGAACUAUCCUCUAACCAACAACCUAGGGGUUGUGACUUCCUUGACACGCGUAUGGGUCGUGUGCUUUCAGUAGUACGGGCCAAUACUACCUUCCACACCUACCAAUAUUUAUCUCAAGUAUCACCACAACGCCCUAAGCACAAACAAACAUAGCAAGCACUCAAUCCUCACCCCUAGAGGAAUACCGAAUAGCUCAUAAAAAGGAAACCCUAGGCUAGCAGGCAUCAUAAAUCAGGCAAUUCUAUCAUGCAAUUCCUGAAGAUCCCUAGCCUCGUACUAGCAUGUUGUUCUAACAUGUCUCAAAAACAAAUAAUUUGUAUGAUAUUUUGGGGUAACUUACUAGCUCUGGCUGAUCGUACCCUCUGCGUCCUCUUUUACUUAUUUUGAAAACCAUUUUUGAAAACCUCUCCUUGAUUUGAGACUGGAUUCACACGAAUGUUUCUCCAAUUCACUCAAACCAAGGCUCUGAUACCAACUUGUAACGACCAAAAAUUUCAACCAAAUUAAAACAUUUUAUUUCAUUCAAAAAUUGUUACGAUCAUACAUCUUGUUUUCAAAAUAAUUUAAACAUCAGAGUAUUUCCCCAAAACCAUAUCACAUAAAGCAUAAACAUAAGGAGCGGUACGAUCACGCCUUCGCCUUGCCACGAUCUCCUGAAGAACCUGAAACAAUAAACCACAACUGUAAGCCCGAAAGCUUAGAGAGUUCCCCCAAAGUACCCAAACACACAUAAACAUACUCAUACAGCAAAGAACAACAUACUCUGGGUCCAAUCAACCUUCUGGUUGGAAUACCCCCAGCCCUCAACCAUCAGGUUGGAAUGCCUACAUAACACAAGUCCAAUCAUCCUACCGGGAUGGAAUACUCUCGGCCCACAACCAUCGGGUUGGAAUGCCUAAACACCUAUACGUACAACAAUAGCUACUAUGGGUCCAAUUAUCCCUUAGGAUGGAAUACCCCAGGCCCCUCAACCAACGAGUUGGAAUGCCAACAUACUAUGAGUCCAAUCAUCCUACCGGGAUGGAAUACUCUUGGCCCACAUCCAUCGGGUUGGAAUGCCCCACUUCCUAUACAUACAGUAACUACUUCUACUACUAUGGGUCCAAUCAUCCCUCGAGAUGGAAUACCCUAGGCCCCUCAACCAUUGGGUUGGAAUGCUAAACUACUAUGAGUCCAAUCAUCCUACCUGGAUGGAAUACUCCUGGCCCACAACCCUCAGGUUGGAAUGCCAAUUUAUACUAGCAAACACGCACACAUAAUAGGCAACCAUAAAAUACUCUACAGAACCAACAAACUAGGGCCCUAUCAUCCUAUCGGGAUGGAAUACCCUCUGCUACUGCUCAACAUGCAUAAACCACAGGUAACCUCCUACCAGCGUACAUAGUACAAGACCAACUACCGAUCUAUAAAUAAUCACUACCCAACAACUAGGGCGCCGAUCCGACAGAGCUAGCCAUCAUAUUGCUAUCCAUUUCUCUAGGAUACCAAGCUAACAAGGCAUAAUCUCAUAUCACUAUCUCAACUACCAGGAUACUAGCAAGCAUAUCAUCACAUAACAUAACAAGCUCUAACAACAAUUCAAAGGGUCGGCCUUGGUGCCUUAGACCCUUGAGUACAGUGAGGAAAACUCACCUUGAACUGUUGAAACGCUGCCAGUACCCUUCUGAUUGCUAAUCCCCACACCGCUGCUCCUCUAGCGCCUCGAACUAAUCAAAGCCAUAAAAACACUUAGCCCCAAAACAAUAUCCUUCUAAGGGUAAAUUGACCAAUUUACCCUUAACCCAAUCUGGUCCAAGACUAAGGUCCAAGAUCACAACAUGAAAAGCCCAACCUAGAAAAGCUUAUCAAGCCCACUAGUGAACCACUAAUGGCCCAAUUGCUACAUUGGGCCCAAUCCCUUAAUGGGCCUCACCAUAAGCCCAAAAUAUAUUCCUUGGCCCAUAUAAUAUGGUUUAUGUGGGACCACUAAGGCCCAAAUACCCAAACAUAACCCAAACCACGGCCCAAAACUCAUGAUCCAACAGACAGGGUUACGUGGGGCGUACAUCAAUGUACGCUUAACGUAUAGGCUCGAAGUUGGUACGAUGGGCGUAUGUGCACGUACGCGCAGCAUAGCGCUCUGCUAAGUCAUUUCCUCAUUAAGUGCUUAACACUCCAAACCAGGUGGUAUAAUCACAGAUCCAAGUCCAUUAAGAUGUCUUAAGCUAUAAAGUCGACUACUUGGUGGCUUGCAACCCACCAAAUGAACCCAAACUUGAAAUAUAACACCAUACUUCCAUAAAGGUGGGUAGAUCUCAUGCAUGAUCAUAAAUGAGCCCUAAAGGUUGAAACUUUAUAGCAUAAGGGACUCAUACGAAACUAAGGGUGGCAACGCCAGACUUAGAAACGUGCUGGAGCCAUAAAGAUGCAUUCUUGGGACCAAAAAGUCCAUAAAAUUGUACCAAGAGAGAUCUAAGAGAUUAUUCAUCAAGAUCAAAGUUUUUUACCUUGAAGAGGCCCAAAAUGAAACACUUGUCCCAGAUCUAUAAGCUCUAUCUUCCAAGGUUCCUCCUUCCCAAUCUUCUUCCUUUCUCUUCCAAGCUAAAAACCACCAAGAUGAGCUUUUCAAGGCCAAGAUCUCUAAAAAUGGAGGUUGGAACGCUCUAGGGUUUCUUAUGAGGUUAGGGAGGCUGAUAUGGGGGCUAGGGUGGAAGCCAUUAUGUUCUAUUUAUAGUGGCUCAACCCAAAUUAGGGUUUAAUGAGCUUUUGCGUACGUUGGGCGUAGCUUUACGUACACUAGGCGUAUGCCUCACACCUCCGCGAUCCGAAGACCCGCUACGCUGGGCGUAGCCACGCGCGUUCAAAAGCGUGCAUGCUCCAUUUUGACAACUUUUCCCAUUAAGUGUCAUAAGUGUUAAUAUAUUCAAAGUGCCAUAACUCCUUUAUUCUGAGUCCAUUUCCGACGAACUUUAUAUCCACAAAAUGGUGGCGAUAAUCCCUAUACUUCUAGCAACACACCCUGACCCGAGGCCUUCUCGAAUAAAACCCAUUACUCAUAACGAUCGAAACGCCCUUACCCUUGAUCUCAGGAAUCCAUAAAUAAUUACUUUUAGAACGGGGCAUUACACAUACUCCAAGAUUGUAAGUUGAGUAACAUGUCUUAGAGAAGGUUUAAAACACAUGUCAAAUGUAAGAGUAAAAGUUUUCUACUCUUGUACAUUUGAAAUUGGUAAGUUGUGAUGUUUAUGAUAAAACAAAGACCAACUAAGGCCAAUUGUGUGAAGUGUUUGUCCUGAUUAGAAUCCACACUAUCUCUUGAAUAUCUGACAAGAAAGUCUUAUCUGUCAAAAGGACGGUGGGAGUCUUAAACGUCUUGAAAGUCUCAAAAACUAAUCAAGAAUAAAACCUGAAGUUCUUCACUAGCACACGACUUGAGGUUCAUAACCUAUCGUGUUGACAUAUUUUGUGCCCAAUCCAAUUAAAGUUGGCUUUGCAUAUGAGUUCUUAGAGUUCUCAAUUGGUUGCACAACAACUUGGAAGCAAUGGCAGGCCAUUGAGCUGCCAGGUGGCAAGAAAUUAAGAUUGAGUUCAGUCCAUAUAAGUUUGGAUUUGUCAUUAUCCUUGUCUUGUGACUAUGGUUUUGACAAUUCACGUGGACAAAAACACAUACACCAUUAAAUCUAAGUGUCAUAAGGUUUCUCCCCGAUUCAUGAAAAUGAUGGUGAGGAAACACUUUCACUAAGUAGAUUUUAGCUAGAUAGCAAUUGUGAUAUUUGCAUUCUCAAAGUCGUUAGUGGAGCGUGUGUGGUUUACCGGCACACUAACAUGGACUUGUAGGAAGUGGAAAAGGUCUAAACAAUCAAGACUAUGAUUACAGCAUCCCUUUUCAUAGUUCUUAAAUUGUUUAGACACACCUGUGAGCUAUCUAAGAUAAGGUGUAUGAUAUUGAUAAAGUUUUUAUCAAAGCAAUCUAGUAUUAGAAAUCUGAACUUUGGUAAGCUAGUUAAUAAAGUAUUGAUUUCUAGAAGUCCAGCUGAUUUCUGAGUACAUGUCAAAGCUAGUGGGAGCAUAUGUGUUAUGCUAAUAACGAUCAUGUUAGUGGGAGCAUGAUAACUAUGAAAAGUAUUGCAAGUUAGCAAUGUUAAUUAUAGAAAACAAAAGUUUCAAUUGGGAAAGAGUUGUUUUGCUAUAAUUAAGGGAGAGGAAAUUAUACUUCAUCUCAAAUCUAUAAGCUUAGAUCGUGAGGUUUUAAUCAUUUAGUCAAGGAUAUAUAUGAAUUUCAUGUUGGAAUGGCUCAACAUAAGGAAAUUCUGUAUANNNNNNNNNNNNNNNNNNNNNNNNNNNNNNNNNNNNNNNNNNNNNNNNNNNNNNNNNNNNNNNNNUGAGGUUUUAAUCAUUUAGUCAAGGAUAUAUAUGAAUUUCAUGUUGGAAUGGCUCAACAUAAGGAAAUUCUGUAUAUGGGUCCAUUAUUUGCAUUCUAAAAUUCGAUUAUGAUUACGACAUCCCUUUUCACAAUCUGAAUUAUGAGAACUUGGAAAAUAGAAAUAUUGUAGCAAAAGGACUGGUCUAGUAUCAUGUCUUUAUGUGGGACAUCUUGAAUCGUGUCCCAUAUGCUUCGGAUAUAGGAUCGAUUGCAUGUGCUAUAAUAUUCAUCCUUUCUAAAAUUUUCCCAGUGCUUGGGGUAUUAAGAAUGGAAAAGGUCCAGAAUUGGAUAUGACUAAAAGGAUUAAGCAAUUGUCGAGGACAAUCUAAGGUUUACCAAAGAUUGGUUGCUCAAGGACAGUUGGAAGUAUAGUGAUAAUUCUGGAAGGACCAUAUUGACAUAAUCUGUAAGGAGGCAACUCUUGUUCAGAAGUGAUAGUCAAAAUGGAAUCUGGAAAUGUUUCAAAGUUAGAAUUUUCAAUCUGUGUAAGAUUAAGGAAACUUAAUGCAAGAAGGAUGUUUCCAAGGAGUUGAUCUCCUUUGGAAUGCUCUGUAAUGUUUGUUGUCAAGUCUUUAUGACUUUGUGCAUAAUCAUUACAAGAGGAUCAAUGCAUAUAAGUUUAGAAUCUAACAGAUUUCAGUAAAUGGCAUGAAUUUGGAAUUCUUGCAUUUGCAGUAAGUAAUUGGGACUGUGAAAUGAGAAUCAUUGGAACUAUGUUCAAUCGAUCUCUUUCACAAAGUAAAGAUCAUAGACAAACAUAGUAUGCAUACUUGGUGUGUGGCAUGACUAGUGUUUAAGAAAACAUAGUGUACAUGCUUGGAGCAUGGGACAACUAUUGUUUUAAAUUCAAGAAUAAAGUUGAUAGCUGAAACAGUAUACAAUGAAUAAUGUGUAAUCAUAUGGUGAUAAAUAAAAGGUGUUUUAUUUAUGUUCAAAGGGUUGAUACCAUAUUGGAUUCAAUUAUUAUUGUGUUUCAUUUUGCAUGUUUUGACUUCCCGAAUAAACUGGGUUAUUCUUCCGGAAUGACUAAGUUAUUCAAACCAUCCACAGUCGGUCAUAUGUUGGAAGUAGAUAUGAAUUAAGACUGUCAUGGGUUGGCUUGUAGAGGUCUAAGGUGUUGGACAAAGGGCUACAACACUCAUGAGUGCUCAUAAGUUCUGAGUAUUGGAUUCAACCCGCGCUCAUUGGAAUCACUUCAUGGAUUUUAUCACGAGUGAUCAUGAGACGAUAAUAUCUUAUAUUCUUCAAACCUAGAGAUAUGAGUUGUUACUAUGAGUUGAUAGUACAUUGAUUGCACGAAAACGCAUUUGGUAACUCGGUGCUAUAAAACGUGCCUUUGUGUAUGAUUCAACAAGUAGUAGAACAAGCCAUAUGAGUCGAAGUUUAUCCGUUCCUUUUACCUUCGGGAUAAAAGCGAUAUCUGUGGGCCCCUCGAUGAUUUGAUGAUGACAAAUGGAAGUGCUCGGCCGGGCCAGGACUGAUUUGAUUUGUUCAAUUAGUCAGUCGUCAUAAAUCGGAAAUCGGGAAACAACAAAUGGACAGAGAGAAUGAUUAUAAUCCAUGUCUCAGUCCAUAUGAUAUCUAGAAUGGAGGAAUAUAUGAUCCCUUAUCUAAUGGACGAGUCAUUGACAAAGGUCAGAGUUCAUCGGCAAGGUCAAAGUUCGACAAAAGCUUUUGAGAGCUACGAAUGCCAGUCAGUUCUUGAAGUCAUACGCAACAAUAGUUUUAGACUUAUCCAAGUGGGAGACUGUUGGAUUAAUGUCUAAGUCCAUAACUAUAAUUGGUNACUUGACCCAACCCGACAUGGUCCAUUUGGGUUGCAUGGCAUCAUGCAUUUAGAUAGACUAUAAUGAGAGAAAUAACACUUAAGGUUGGUUAAUAUAUUAUAAGUUCUAAUAUAUUAAUAAGAUUAUUUAAUUAGUAUUGAUCAAGAAUUAAUCUAGGAUUAAUUAAUUGAUCAAAAGAAGACUAAUUAAACAUAUGGGUUGAUUGUGUAAAUCGUUCAUACUUAUAUAGUGUGCUAAUGCUCCAUGGAUUGUCUAGUUGGGCUAAAACCCAUAAGAUGCUCCAUGGAUACUCCAUGGAGUAUUUGUACCCAUGGAUCAUGGAAAUGAAAGGCCAUGACAAUUAGGGUUUACAUGGUGUAACCCUAACUAUAUAAUGAUCUUAUUCUUGGAGAAAAUCGUGCACUACGGAUAAUAGAAAGGGCUAGCCGAUUUUCAUGAAGUUUGAAGUUCUCUAAAGUUAUUCCAUGUGUAUUUGGUGUUGUGUGAACCAUUUGAGGUGUCACACUUGGGGCACAAGGAACUCAAGCUUCAUGAUGACAAUAUACAUCAAAGAGGUAUGUAAUUCUAACUUGAUAUAUUCAUAUGGAAUUAUGCUAUUAUGCUAGUUAGGAUGAAUACCUUGGAAAGAUCAUAUUUGCAUGUAUAAUAGAGAAAACAUAGAUCCAAGGUAUUCAGGGUUGCAUGUACACUUAGGAGUAUUAGAAUGCUCAAAACCCAACAAUAAGUUCUACUACUUAUGAUCAUCUCAUGGCAAGGGAACCAACUUCAUGGUGCAGGGCUUCUCUACUGGCUUGGCUUGUGAGGCUGUAGAGAAUGGGAUUGCUGAGUGUUUCAAUGCAAUCAUUGUAGAUGCAAGAAAGAAACCUUUGCUGACUAUACUUGAAGAGAUUAGUCUUUACAUGAUGGAAAUGGCUUUCAAUCUAAACAAGAGGCUGAAAAUUGGGUUAGUGAAGUUUGUCCUUCCGCGAUAACAUAGAUGGAAGAAUUUGGAGAAGAUAUUAAGUAAGUAUUCUCAAUUGUUUUGUUUUUACAUGUUCUAUCUUAUGUGUUUGCAUCUUAUGUUCUGUCUUAUAUGUUUGCAGAAGUUGGAAUGGAGUUCCAAGUGGAGUGAAUGAAUAUGAAGUAAGGAAUGGGUUUCAAAACUAUGGAGUUAACUUGAAGAAAAAGUUAUGUGCUUGUAGAUUAUGGGAACUUGCAGGAAUACCUUGUGUGCAUGCACAAGUGGCAAUAUUGUACACCAAUCAAGAUCCAAUUAACUUUAUAAGUAAUUGGUUCAGCAAGAAUAAUUACAAGGCAACUUAUGAUCAGAAUAUACACCCAGUUAAUGGAAGUAUCUUAUGGGAAGAAACAAGUUACACUAAGCCCCUUUCACCCAUUGAAAGGAGGAUGCUAGGAAGGCCUAGUGUUAAAAGAAGAAGACAUGUUUAAGAAAAUCAAGACAAGUAGUCUCAAGUGUCAAGAAAGGGUAGAACUGUCCAGUGUAAAAAUUGUCUACAAAGGGGACACAAUAAAACAUCAUGCAAGAAUCCUAUAGUGGUUCCAGAACCUCAACCAAAGAAAAAAAUAGGCAGGCCUAGGUUGGAGCCUGAUUUGCUUAAUUGGUCAGGAACUAAAACAGGAUCUAGAGGUGGUGGAAGGUCUGGUGGAAGGGUUGGUGGAGGAAGGAGUAGAGGGGUGGUAGGGGAUCUUGUGGAAGAGGCAAUAGAGGUGGUGGCAUGGGAUCUAGUGAAGGAGUCCAAACAUGGGGAGGGUACUUCUGAGUUUCCUAAAUGUGAGCCUGAACUUGUUGACAUUCCAAAUAUUGAGAGUGAAAAUGAUGCAAGUCCAAAUUUUCACAAUCAUAUAAGCUUAACAAUUGACAACCUAAGGAAAUCUUUAUACACUAUAGAGGAGAUCAUGGACUGUCUUGGACUUAGUGAAGCAUAAUUACAACAAAUUAAAGGUCUUGGAUUGAGUGAAGCAGAAGUACAACAAAUUGAAGAUGUGGAUGUUUCUAUGUCACAAGUAUGCUUUCUCAUUAUUCAUUUUGUGAUGUUAAAUCUUGCUAAUUGGCCUUUUUGUUAUGCUUGUUACAGGAUGUUGGAAUUGCUAGCUAAAUAACAGUUGAAGAACUCCCUACAAAUCAAGCACUUGGAGAUGAGGAAAGGAUGAAUGAGGAGGAUGGCAUAGAUGAGUUAGGGAUGGGUGAGGUGAUGAUAAAUAAGGAAAGGAUGGAUGGUGAGAGAGAAAUACCUAUCACACAACAAUUGAAUCAAGUCAGAAGGAGGCCUACAAAGAGUAGCAAAGUGAAUCAAGUCAGGAGGAGGAAGCCUUCGGAAAGGAUAACAGAGAUCCAGUUACUAAAGGUGGUAGCUGUCAAGAAUGGAAAGGGGAUGAGUUCAUCCAACCCCCUUAGUCUAGAUUAGGGUGUUUCUAAUCGCUACUUUUGUUAAGAACAUGUAAAAAACUUUUGGGUAUGGGAAAAUGUUGAUAGCCCUUUUUGUUGAUAAGCCUCUACUGUUGAUAGCCUUUUUUGUUCAUAGCCCCUUUUGUUUACAUCCAUAUAAACUAUAGGCUUUGGGCCCCUUGAUCAUGUUUUUGGGCAUUUACACAACUUGCCAUAAAACUUGUUUGGCUUUGGUUAAUAUUACUACAUGUUCUAUGAUUAAAAAUGUUUAUGUUCCCAUUGGUUAUAUUGAUUCCUUGUUUUAUAGAUUCCAGUCAUGCAUACAUUACUUGUGCUUACAAUGUUUGCUUAUAUGAAUACUAGUUAUGCAUAAUUCCAGUCAUGCAUGAUUCCAGUCAUGCUUGAUUCCGGUCAUGCAUGAUUGACUCCAUUAUGUAUUGAUUUGUUUGUGUAUUAAGUCCAUUAUUAACUUAUUAUAAUCAUACUUUGAUUCCAUUCAUUGAUUACAAUCAACACAUUUAAAGUUCAUACAUAAACUAGAUACUUCAUUCAUAAUCAUAUGAGUCACAAGAUACUACAUUCAUAGUAAACUAACAACCCUUAGUCAUAACCAAAACAAGCACAGCCAAAAUACAUUAAAACAACUUUCUAUCCUACCAAUCCAUCAACAUAACCAACAAAAACACAAAAGAAACCACAGAGACAUAAAGCAAUGAUUUCCAUUUUCCUCCUUCCACUGCUUGUUGUACAAUUGGUUGUUGUGCCAUUGGUUGUUCCACAACGUCUCCAAAAAAAGUUCCCAGCUGGUUGUUCUUGCCCAAACUCCCCAAACAUUCGAUGGUUCUCCAAAUUGACAUUGUUGUGUAUUACUAAUAACAAAUCUGCAUACCACUGCUUGGUAGAGGAAGGUCCACCCAACGAAAGUACUUGCAAUCUUUGAGUCCAUUCUUGUAAUUUGGGCAUCCUAUAAACCUUCUUCCUGGGUUUAAUGGAGUCCAUGAAAUCCAUCUUCCUACAGGAUCACCACAGUAGCACCUCUUUCCGAGACAAUUCAUUGAAGAUAAAGAAGACGAAGAAGACAUUUGUCUUGGUCCUCUACUACUCCUGCUUCAAUCGUUGUCUGCUAGGGCACGAAUGAAGUUUUCCACUAUAUUUAGAGUUUAAUACAAGGCCAUUAAAUGACUCACCAACCACCUCAACAAGUCCUUGCCACAUAAGCCAAUUUAACUAGUUAAAUGAAGGUCACCGGUAACAUAGGGCCGAAAUGUUCAAUUUAUCCGGUUUUUUGGGUUUUUUUGUUCAAAAAAAUAUUGGGACAAAAGUGUAACUUUUCCCAAAAGUUUGGGACUAUUUUGAAGAUUUCCUUAACUUUUUANUAUAUAGAGAGAGAGAGAGAGAGAGAGAGAAUUAGGUUCAUAUAUAAACUUUAAUUAUUGUGUGAAUGUGUGACCAAAUGUGGUCCAAUCAUUUGGUAAAAGCAUUAUAGUAAAAUUCAUUGAUUGAUUAAUUAAAUAACCAAAAUUAAAACCUAUAAUGUAGUAACAUUCUAUAAUUAUCAUUAAUUUAAAAUCCCUUUAUUUAGGCAAUUCAAAUUACCAGCACAUCUUCAACACUUAUCAUCAUCAUCAUCAUGUACACACCUUACCAUCUUCAUCAAGAAUAAAUCUUUGUCAUCUUCUUGACAUCACAAACCCACCAUGUUCACCAUCACAACCGACCUUCGAUCAAACAUUGUGUUGUUAUCUUAGACACUAACUUGUUGAUUGGGAGAAGGAGACACGAGCAUUGUUCAUUUUUUUACCCAUAUGUUGAUAUAAUAGAGGAAUGUGAAGCAGAUGGAGCAAUCAAAGAUUUUAUGAGUCAUCAUCUCUUGUUAUGGGGUUUGGAACUCGUGGUAUUCUUGGUUCAUCAUUAUUUUUCUAUACAGCCUAAUCUUCUCCACUAGCAUUAUCCUUGCAUGUAGAUCACCAAUCAACCUUAAUUGCAAUCAUCUUGAAAACGCACAAAAGAAGAGGGGUGAAUAUAUUCUUGAAGAAUAAAAUGAAAUAUGAUAGUUCAUUCUCACAGAAUGUACAAAAACAUUAAUAUUUUUUCUAAAAUUAUGGAUUUACGUCACAAAAACACAUUUACGUUACAAAAACAUAAGAAUUCUUUUAGAAUCCAUGUUACUGUGAAGAAUGUGAGUUUGAUUCAAAACCAAUUAUGAAUGAAUACAUGUAACAAUCCAAUUCUAUUUAGCAAAUGUUUUUUUAUCGAAAGCCAACUCGAUUAUAUGUUAUAGUGAGUUGAAUGGUGAGAAUGAUAUUCUCUAAGAAUUGUAUUAAAUAUGAGAUUUCAAAUAAAUUCUAUGAGAAUUCAUGGUACACGAAGAAUACAAGAGUAAUUAAAUAUAUAUUCUUUAAGAGCAAUAUUAAAUAUUCUUUAAGAACAAUAUAAAAUAUGAUAUGUAUGUUAUCAAUCAACGUCUUUUACGCAACAACAAUGAACUCUAAUUAUUUUGAACAAACUUUCUUACAGAAUAGGUCAUAAUGAAAAUAACAUUUGGAACUUUGGAUUUUAUUUUCCCCUAAAUUCUUUUAGAAUACUAGACAUACUUUCAUAUUACAUGAUAUUGGGAAUAAAAAAUGUCAUACAAAACCUAGCUUCUUUAAGAAUUAAUGCUAUGUGAAGAUUUGUCCAUUAUAUACAUUUAAAUCAUAUAUAUCUUUUUUUUUAAUCUUGUAGAAUAUUAUUAGUUUUAAAAAUGUAGGAUUAAUUUUUCUGAAACGUAUGAUUUCCAUUAAUUAGUUUCACUUGCUUCCUAAAACAUAGGUGUUUUUCAUUUUUCUUUUUUGAUAAAAUGUCAUAUUUUUCUUUAUUUUUAUUCAAUGUAAUUAUAGAGUAAAUGUUAUUCGAUAUUAUUUGUUUUAAUCUAAUGGCCUUAAUUUUUUUAUACAUUUACAUAAUAUUUAAUUCAUAUUUAAUCCUAACCCAUAUAUNNNNNNNNNNNNNNNNNNNNNNNNNNNNNNNNNNNNNNNNNNNNNNNNNNNNNNNNNNNNNNNNNNNNNNNNNNNNNNNNNNNNNNAAGACUUGUAGGGCAUGUUCUACAAAAGAUUAGCGGCGUUAACUUUCAAUUUGAACCAUCUAAAUUGGCAAAUAAUCCUCAACUAAUCCAAUUAAAACAUUAAAACAAUAAAUCAACGGCACAACAUUCUAACAUGACUGACACAUAAAUACAAAAAAUAAACUUCAUGAGAAUCCAUCACUCAGACAGUCACUAGUCAGUUUAUCAGAUUUUUUACUUCCAUAAACAAUUAAACAUCAAGAUAUGUUGUCUAUAGACUCAUAGUCAUCGUAGACACAUUCAAUGCUUUAACCUAAAACACCAAAGUCACGCAAUCAUAUAAUUUAAAUAUCCUAUUUCCAUGCUUCGAUAUACCUUUUUUCCAUUCGAUAUACGAGAAAAAUCUAAAAAGCCUAUACAUUACGAACUUCGAUGUUUCAAAGUAAAAUCAAGACUCCAUGCAUUCUCGAUAAAUUAAAAAUAUAAAACUAAAGAUCGAAGUUACUUUUUGUGAUAUUUCGAAUCUGGAUAAUAGUAGAAAUACUGUACAUAGAGUAGGAGAAAUGGAGAUUAGAGAAUCAAUUCGAUGAUGAAAGAAGCAUUUAUGAUUUUUCUCUACUGACGUUAUCUCGAAAAAAUUGUACGGAAAAUAUCAGAUUAAAUUGUGGGGUACAAUUGCUAAUUUUUCCUCUUGGUGAAACCUGACUUGUUUAGCGAUGAAUCCUUCAAUCUUCUUCUGAAACUCCUCAUUGCUCAGCUCGUCGACGACGUUGUCCACCGGAGAAUCAACUUUCCGCCGUCCUAUCUCUGUCUCCGACCGCUUCAGCUUCCAAUUAAGUAUUUCCGUCUCCAGAAAAGGCUCUCUCUUCAUUAGGUUUUCAGACUGGCUUCUCCGGUAGAUUUUAGGAUCUAGAUCUGGAAUAGAAUUCGCCGACGAUUCACUGACUUUGAUUUCGCCGGUGAUUGGUUUAGUGUUUACUUCAGAUAUGAUUCGUUUAUCCUGAUAAACAAUUUCUUCGUGUUUGAGAACGGGAGGAUCAUCGUCGCUUACAUUGUUAACGAUGUCUUCAUACAGAUCAGUUCCGGCAUUAUCCACGGCGGUAUUAGCUCCGGUGAGAUGGCCGGAUUUUACAACGAGGGUUAACACGAUUACGUUACCGACUAGAAAAAUGAAGAGAGGGCUGACGAUGAUUGAGAGAAGCUGCCGGAAGUACUCGCCGGAUACUCUUACGACGAACGGCAGACGAGUUGAGAUCCACGAGAGUAAAACCACCGCUAAAAAGAGCUCAAUCAACCGGAACAAUUUCGCUAUUUUUCGGAAGCUCCGGUAACGUUGCAUCGCGUUUGCUUUCUCCAUCUUGACGUUAUGGAUAUCAAAAAUAUCCAUUUCACUCUGAUUUUGAGCUCCGAUUUGAAGAAUUAGAGAAAGCUCCGGUUGCUGGUUUAUUUUCCGGCGACAGAUUAGGAAAGUGAAGUGUGAUCUAUUUCUCUAAAACGAUGUAAAUAUUGCGGGAUUUUAUAGAUGGUGGAGCACGGCUAAUCGGGGCCCACACUACUUUAAAAAGGGGGGAAAUAACAAAAAGGGUGAAAGAAGAAUAUGUUCAAAUAUAUUUUUUAUUUUCCUUAUUUUGGGAAAUUGUUUCUUUUAUUUGAUAACUUGAU